CACCUCGCCCUGCAUCCUGUCGGCAGCCCCGCCGCCCUCCCGCAGCCCACCGCCCUCCCACGCUCCAUCCCUCCAUCCAUCCACCGGCAGUCGUCUCGGCAAAGAAGUCAGUCCACUUACAGAUGUAGCCCCAUCACAUGCCAGUAAUUAAAUAACUAGCAGAUAGUAGUAUUAAUCAGUGGAUGGUCUAAUAUUAAUCAGCUUAUAUAUAUAUAUAUUGGGUAUUGUAGGUAAAUGGUACUUACUUCCUAACGUUAAUACAUUAAUCAGCUUAUACAGAUAAAUGAAACAGUGAGCCUCUUUGACCGCCUUACAUCUGCUAAACCAGUUCUCCAGUCUUGGUGUUUCCAAAGGAUCCCAUGAUCCUCCUCAUGCAAACAAACACAGUUCUCAAUUGUCUCCACACCACCAGUGAAGUUUGUGAAAUGUGCAUCAAAAUAUUUUAUGUAGCCCAAGCACCCUCUUGUAGAAAUCCUUGCAUUAUAAAGAAAUAUAGCUUUUCAAUGACCAUUUCACCUUUUUUGUAUCCACCAUUUCUACAUUUCACAAGUUCCAGUGAAUAGGUGAUAGUUGUGAUUUUAAGGUGGUUGAAAAUGAAGGUAGGAGAAGGGGCACAUGAAUCUGAAUGAUGCAUACUUAAGUGGCACUUUUGUCUCUAUCAGAUUUUCUCCCUGUUUAUUUGAUGCUUGCCUUUGUUUCAUUGUUUUAUAUUUGAGCUAUGAUUCUUUUAGUGCAAAACUUGCUUUUUUUAAUCAUCUAUAUUUGGUGGUGAUAUCUGCAGGAUAGGCUUCAAGAGAGGCUAAGAAAGUCUAAGUGUUUAGGACUUGAAGAGGCUGCAAAGAACAAAGGUUUUGACCUUGGUAACGGUGAGUUAUUUUAUUAAUGUUUUAUGCCAACAACUUUAGCUUUUGUACACUAGCACUGUUAUCUUAAUCAUCUAUAUUUGGUGGUGAUAUCUGAUCCAAUCCUUCACUCAUUGCAAACUGUUGAGGAGGAAUAACUAUUUGGCAGAUGCACUCAUUGCAAACUGUUGAGGAGGAAUAACUAUUUGGCAGAUGCAGACAUGCAGUAGCUUCACACUUGGUUCAUCGGACAACAGUUCUUUGAACUGAGUAGAGUGGAAGGAAACUGAACCUAACACCCAUCCAUGACCCAGCUUACAUAUAGGCAAGUUUUAUAACAUAGCCUGCUUCAAAUAUAACUUUUGAGCUUGAGUUACGUAUGCUUUCAGUCACUACUCUUCAACUAUGCUGGUUCAGUCACUACUCUUUAGAACUGAGGUUUGUCUUCCUAUAAUAGGUGGUUUUACUGGGUUCUGCAUCAGAUCCUCGCAUACAAGGUGACUUCACAAAUUUAGCCAAUAAGUUGUAUAGCCGAGUGAAGCUAUGUUUGACCUAUGCUACGACGAGCCACCAUCACAUUUGGUUAGUUUUAUCUAAUACGAGUUGGGUGCAUAUUUCCAUUUCUGUAACCAUUUCCUUUGAAUCUGGUUUCUAAUGGAUUUUCCACAGAUUUAAGAUUUCCUGAUAGAAAAUUGUGCCUUGCAUCUUAAUGAAAAGAAUGGUGCAUCUGUUUUUUUUUCUGCUAACACAUGAGCUAUCAAGUUCAUUUUUAAGAUGAUAGUACUACACAAGGUUGAAAUGCUAAAGUAUAUAUGGCAUCUGUUCCAGUUUAUAAAGGCAGUAACUUUGAUGUAGUGUCACUUUUCAGUUUUGUGCUAUAAUAACUAUUACUUAUACAUACCCACCCAAAAAAAUCUUUGUGCCUGUUUCUGUUUGACCCUCCAUCAUGACAAAAAAAAAUUGGUUUGAUUAAGGUAAUGUGAUGAAUGCAUGAUUGGAUGCUUUAUGGAAGCAUACUAUUUAACACCAAUGAUUGGUUCUGCUCAUUAUCUAUUGUUAUUUUGUUAAAAAAGUCUUCUGGUACCCAUUUUUUCUAGCUACCUGGUUAUGAUUCUCUCCAUUUGCAGCAACAUGCUAAAGAGCAAAAUGACACCAAACUAAUGGAAAAUGUAAUCCAUGUUCUAUCAAGAUAUUUCUUACCGCUGCAACCAGGCACAACUGACAUAGUCUUCAGGUAUCUCAUUGUAUGUUCUCAGUUAGUUAUAUUAAUGAUGUUUACUAUAGGUUUAGUUUGUUGUUUUUAUAUUACUGUAGACCAUGAUCUAGCCUCUAUAAAAUUUAUUUUAGUAAUUCAUUGCAUCAUAUUACUCCUAUCUUUUUGCAAUAUAGUCGAUGCCAUGCAGACGGACAUGGAGGUUGUGUUCGAGGUGCUGAAGAGCCUAGAGGACGUUGAGGAGCUGGACCCCGAGUGGCUGCAUGAUCCUCACAAGCUGCACACGUGCGUGGAGAAGGACACCUCCUUGUCGGACUCGUGCGGCGUCGACCCAUUCGGGCUGGUGGUGAUGGCGCCCGAAGGCAUGCAGAGCAGGAGCAGAUCACCGUAUUCUUCAGGGAGUGACCAGGAUCUCAGCUUCUCGAUCUAUGCUUCUUUGUGAUUUCUCUUCUAAUUUGUCUACCUCCUUUUUCUGCCCGCAGAUUGGAGCAAGAGCAAGGUGGUCAGAUCUAGAUCGAAAGUCAGUGAGACGAAAGCCGUUUUUACCUCAUUGGUCAAGCAACACUAUUCACUCUUUGAUGCAACAUGGGAAGCUUUAUUUCCUGAAGCACUAGCUGGGAAGUCAGUGAGACGAAAGCUCAUGAGGGCAGGUCCAAGGGCACUGAUCUUCCCAGCACCUGCAAACGCUACCUCAGCAACCAUGCGCCUCUUGAAGAUCACCUGGGCAGAGCUGGCACUGUUUGCAACAUCUGCCUUCACUUCAUUGACAUGACCGUAUUGGCUAAAGAUCUUGAUAAGGUCACACUUUGUAGGAUAAAUGCAUGGUCUGCUGAAGUGCAGCACCAGAUUUUCUCUCUGCUGAAGACCACAUGCUGCUACAGAGAGCUGCCAUAGCAUUUCUCCACAGAUGCAAGCCCAACCAUUCUGUUCUUCCAAUAAAAUACUGGUAGUAUCCUUUUUUCCCCUAUGUACAUAUAAACCAUACUUCAUAUGAUGGGUCAAAUUUUAUCAGACUCAUUCUAUUAAAUCCUUUACUGCUAGACAUCGCUCACGAUGACGCAGCAACUACAGUGCAAUGUUUUUAUGCUUUCCUAUAGAGGGCAUGCUAUUUCUUACUUCUAUUAUAUUUAUGCCAUUCAAACUUGUAGCUCUCAAUAUUUUGUGGGUUUAAAUGUUCUUGUUUUCUUUAUAGGAAAUUUGGAUCCAUACCAUUAAAAGAUCACCACUUUGGAUCCAUACCAUUACUAUCUCACUUACAUGUGGGUCCACAUGAGUCAAUGACAUGUGGGGUCCAUGGUAUAUAUCUAAAGUUUGGAUCUUUUAAUGGUAUAGAUCCAAUUGUUCCUUUCUUUAUUUGUGAUACAUCUAAAUCUGAUUUUCUUUGUAGGUAUGGUGAGAGUGAUGGUUAUCCUUCUCAGAAAGGGAGAGAUCAAGAAAGAUGAGAUAUAAAUUCAUAUGCUACCAGAACAAGAAAGAUGAGAGCGGUUGGUGGCCGAGACUCCUAAAAAAGGACCUAUGUUCUUGAAGGUUGACUGGACAAAUGGUAUGACGAGGAUGUCGAAGAUGUUGGAUGUUAGAAUUUCACUUUUGGUUGAUUAUGUUUUUUCUUAUGCACCUGACAAAUCUAGAUAUGCAACUAGACAUGCUUUAUUCUUGUUCCUGUUUUGUUUUCCUUAUGUAUUAAUUCCUUAACUUGUAAUGCACAUGAUGUUUUCCUUAUGUAUUAAUUCCUUAACUUUUAAAGCACAUGAUGAAGGCUGGUUGUCAGGUAAGUUCUCUUAAACUUUGGUAAGCUUACCUACUAUCGCUAUGGAUCUUUUGAAUCAAUUACAAGGUAAUUCAUUUAAAAAUCGUAGUAACACCUGUACCUAAAUAUCAUAUAUAAAAGUCUGUAUGGUACUGAUGGUUGCAAUGUAGUGGUGAAACAACUAGAUUAAAAUAACAAUUUAUGUAUGAAUAGGAUCACAAAUGUAUUAAGAAACCUUUUCUCAUAACAGUACCGUGGUAUUAUGUGUUUCCGUUGCAACGCACGGGCACUCACCUAUUAUAUUCUAUAUGUAGUAUCUUAUUCCAAGAGAUUCUCUAAUAAAAAAAGUUAGCUUGGCUAGCCGGAAUGACUAGCUAAAGUUGGCUAUAGAGAGUACUAAUUUGAAGAGUCGGAUAGUUUAACGAGUUAGAUAGCUAAUCUGUUCGAGAGUUAUUUUGCUGUUAAAUAAUUAUUUUUUUUCUUCCGUAUCAGUAUAUUAGUCCUAUUCUUGCAAGUUAAAAACAAUAAAAAACCGCUUUACCAUAGGUGAGGUGUGCCAACGAGCCCGCAUCAGCUUUUGGCCAGAUCAGUACGCCGUGCGCUAGCUGCAUACUCCUACCGGUGAUGCCGUAUGGUGCGACCGGAUGAUGAUAUUGUGAUGUGCCACGCUCGCUUUCGUCGAGUGGAAGAUGACGACGCGCCCGCGGUGGCGGUGUGUGGAUGCGCAGACUCCCGGCAUAUCAAAAUCCGCACUCCCCAUUGGCCGGCCUCAUAUCCCCUUAUCCGCUUCGCCACCCGCGGUCUCGCCCACCACCCGCUCCGGCCGGCUCUUGCGCUAGCUGCAUGCUCGCGCCGCCCUCCUCUCCAUCAUCCAGUGCUCUCUCCUCUUGCGAUUCGCUCGCUCGAUCCUAGCUUCCCUUCCCAGAAGCGCAGCGCCCAUGGCCAUGGCCAUGGGGCACCGCCAGUCGGGCAGCUGCGCAAAGGUGAGGCCCGGCGGCAUCGGCAUCGGCAUUGGCAUGGGCAUGGUGUCCAAGCAGCACCAAAGAACACCGCCGCCGUCCUCUUACUGUCUACACCUCCACCACAUCCUCUACCUUAGACCUGUCGCCAGCAGCCACCACUUGACGCGCCACUCCGUCGACGUCACCAAAGACGACAAGCCGCUUGAGCCGCUGCCGCCGGCGGCUGCAGAGACAGAGAGCACGCAGCAGCAGGAGGACGAGGAUGGCGGGCCAAAGCUGGACCCGAGGCGGUUCGAGGAGAAGUUCGCGGUGCUGAACACGGGGGUCCACGAGUGCCAGUCCUGCGGGUACCGCUACGACCAGGCGGCGGGGGACCCGUCGUACCCAGUGCCGCCGGGCCUCCCCUUCGCGCAGCUGCCCGAUGACUGGCGGUGCCCCACCUGCGGCGCCGCGCAGUCCUUCUUCGAGAGCAAGAGCGUGGAGAUCGCCGGGUUCGCGCAGAACCAGCAGUUCGGGCUGGGCGGCAACUCCCUCACCUCCGGCCAGAAGGGCCUGCUCAUCUACGGUAGCCUCCUCAUCGGCUUCCUCUUCUUCAUCUCCGGCUACUUCCUGCAAUGAUGACGCCAACAACGACUCUUUCUGAUCUGAUCUUCUUUCCGUUUGUGUGAAUAGAAUACUUCGUCCGUGCAUGUACUCCUCCCCACUCCCAGGGAACAACAUUCAUCAUCAAUCGACUAUAAACUCUUGGUUUUAGAUUUUUUUGAUUUGAUGCGGUGAUCGUUAAGUUCACAGGAACACCGAGCGCAUAUCCCCUCCAUGAUUGUAAUAUGUGGGCAACAAAACUACAAACUAGACACAAAGCAUGUCAUAGGCAGAGUGGUAGAGGAGAGUACGCGUGGUGCACACAUAUCUUAUCCACCCAUGGCCUGGCCUCCAUCUGUGUUCCUCAUGCCCGUGGCCAUCACCAACCGCCUGUGCUAUUUUUAGUGGCGGUUUCUUAAGAAAACCGCCACUAGAAAUCGUAUUUCCAGAGGCGGUUCCUUAAGAAAAUCGUCAGUGGCGAUUUUCUUAAGGAACCGCCAGUACAAAUCGAUUUCUAGUGGCGGUUUUCUUAAGGAAUCGCCACUAGAUAUCAUUUUUAUCCUUAAUUUUUCGAGUUUUUGAAACGACCUCGUAUGAUGAAACCACCAAAAUAAAAGUUGUAGAUCUCUGAAAGUUAUAAAACUUUAUAGUUGACAACUUUUUUUUUGAAAUCAUUUCGUCUCUCAAAAAUUGUAUCUAAAUUUGUCAAAUUUAAAAUUCAAAUUUUGCAAACGACCUCGGAUGAAAAAAGUGUCAAAAUGAAAGUUGUAUAACUUCAAAAAUUAUUCAAGUUUGUAGUUUACAACUUUUUUAUUUGAAUUCGUUUACGGUCUCAAACAAGCAAUUUACACUCAUUUGGUUGUAAUAUGUGGGCAACAAAACUACAAACUAGACACAAAGCAUGUCAUAGGCAGAGUGGUAGAGGAGGGUACGCGUGGUGCACACAUAUCUUAUCCACCCAUGCCUGGCCUCCAUCUGUGUUCCUGAUGCCCGUGGCCAUCACAGGAACACCGAGCGCAUAUCCCCUCCAUGGAUUCCUGCUUCCCUCUCCUUCCCUAGGCCAGCUCCUAGCUUUCUUCCCUAGCUAGGGCAUAUACCGUUUCUAUCGAGGAGGAGUCCAGAGAGAGAGAGAGAGAGUGAGAGCACCUAGAGGGGGGGGGGGUGAAUAGGUGAUCCUGUAAAACUUGAACUUAAUGCCACAAAAACUUAGUUAAGCGUUAGCACAGUAAUGCCAAGUGGCUAGAGAAGAGUCUUAGCGAAACACAAUAACCACAAGAGAAUCAACACAGAUAGACACAGUGGUUUAUCCUGUGGUUCGGCCAAGUACAACACUUGCCUACUUCCACGUUGUGGCGUCCCAACGGACGAGGGUUGCAAUCAACCCCUCUCAAGCGGUCCAAAGACCGACUUGAAUACCACGGUGUUUUGCUUUUCUUUUCUAUAUCCCGUUCGCGAGGAAUCUCCACAACUUGGAGCAUCUCGCCCUUACACUUUGAUGUUCACAAAGAAGCACGGAGUAAGGGAGGGAUGAGCAACUCACACAAGACACAAAGAUCACAGCAAAUACGCACACACAAGACCCAGACUUGAGCUCAAGAGACUAUCACAAGUUUCACACUAGAACGGAGCUCAAAUCACUAAGAAUGUCGAACAAGUGCGCAAGAAUGGAGUGUGAGUGAUCAACAAUGCUCAAAGGAUGCUUGGUUUACUCCUCCAUGUGCCUAGGGGCCCCUUUUAUAGCCCCAAGACAGCUAGGAGCCGUUGAGAGCAUUUCAAGAAGGCAAUUCUUGCCUUCUGUCGCCUGGCGCACCGGACACUGUCCGGUGCACCACCGGACACUGUCCGAUGCGGAUUUCCUUCCUUAUUUGGCGAAGCCGACCAUUGGCAGACUUGGAGCCGUUGGCGCAUCGGACACUGUCCGGUGCACACCGGACAUGCACACCGGACACUGUCCGGUGCACACCGGACAGUCCGGUGCCCCCUACUAGUCGUUGGCUUGACCACGUGUCCCGCGCGGAUCGCGCGGCCGACCGUUGGCUCACCGGACAGUCCGGUGAAUUUUAGCCGUACGCCGUUAAUUACUUCCCGAGAGCAGCAAGUUUGCCUUAGUCUGCCUGGCGCACCGGACACUGUCCGGUGCACCACCGGACAGUCCGGUGCACCACCGGACAGUCCGGUGCAACCAGACUGAGCAGACUUUGGCUGAACAAAGCCAUCUCUUUUCCAAUUUGAUUUCUCCUGUUUCCAGCACUUAGACACAAUACAUCAGUCCAUAAAACAAUGUACUAAGUCUAGAAACAUACCUUUUGACUUGAUUUGCACUUUGUCCACCACUUUGCAUAGAUCUACACUUAGGCACUUGUGUUGGACACUAAAUCACCAAAAUACAUAGAAAUGGCCCAAAGGCACAAUUCCCUUUCAAUCUCCCCCUUUUUGGUGAUUUAUGCCAACACAACAUAAAGCAAGUAGAACGAGUGCAAAAUCAAUUCAAAUAAGAAACUCAAAAUUGUUUUGAUUCAAAUUUGACAUAUAUGGAUCACUCUUUGCCACCACUUGGUUUGUUUUUGCAAAUCAAACUCAAUUUCCUAUCUCUAAGUCAAACACACAUGUUGAACCAUAAUGAGAGCUGUUUCACGAGAAAUUGAUCAAGGAUUCAAAAACUCCCCCUUUUUCCCAUGAUUAAGCCUUCUCCCUACAAGAGACCAACUUUUGACAAAAGAGACAACAAGAGAGUUUUGACAAAUCAAGAAGCUCUAUUCUACUAUUUUCAAAAUUUCUCAAGUGGUAGCUGAUCCAUGUAUUGCUUUGGCCUUAUUUUCUCCCCCUUUGGCAUCAAGCACCAAAACGGAAUCAAUCUUGGCCCUUUAACCCCAUUGCCUCACCAAAAUCUUCAACUAAGAGUAGGAAGGCAGUAAGAGUAUAAGAGAUGAUACCAAUCCUCCUUCGAGACUAAAUCAAGCAAACUCAAGCACAUGGUUAGUCUCAAAAGGUCAAGUUGUAACACAUCUCCCCCUUAAUGUGUGCGUCACUUGCACAAGGACUUGUGAGGUCCGGGGAGUGCUUGUACAACUUGAGCACCAUAAAUAAGCAACAAAAUGCAGAAGGAACAUGAUCAAAGGCAUAAACACAAGUAUGCUAUAAUUCAAUCCAGGUUCCGCGAAUCUAAGACAUUGAGCUCACUACGCAGCCUGCAAAAGGUCUUCUCAUCUAGAGGCUUGGUAAAGAUAUCGGCUAGCUGGUUCUCGGUGCUAACAUGAAACACUUCGAUAUCUCCCUUUUGCUGGUGGUCUCUCAAAAAGUGAUGCCGGAUGUCUAUGUGCUUUCUGCGGCUGUGUUCAACAGGAUUUUCCGCCAUGCGGAUAGCACUCUCAUUAUCACAUAGGAGUGGGACUUUGCUCAGAUUGUAGUCAAAGUCCCGGAGGGUUUGCCUCAUCCAAAGUAGUUGCGCGCAACACUGUCCUGCGACAACGUACUCGGCCUCAGCGGUGGAUAGGGCAACGAAAGUUUGUUUCUUAGAAUUCCAUGACACCAGGGACCUUCCUAAGAAUUGGCACGUCCCCGAUGUACUCUUCCUAUCGACCUUACAUCCGGCAUAGUCGGAAUCUGAAUAUCCAAUCAAGUCAAAAGUAGACCCCUUUGGAUACCAGAUCCCGAAGCAAGGCGUAGCGACUAAAUAUCUAAAGAUUCGCUUCACCGCCACUAAGUGACACUCCUUAGGAUCGGAUUGAAAUCUAGCACACAUGCAUACGCUGAGCAUAAUAUCCGGUCUACUAGCACAUAAAUAAAGUAAAGACCCUAUCAAUGACCGGUAUGCCUUUUGAUCAACGGACUUACCUCCUUUGUUGAGGUCGGUGUGUCCGUCGGUUCCCAUCGGAGUCUUUGCGGGCUUGGUGUCCUUCAUCCCAAACCGCUUUAGCAAGUCUUGCGUGUACUUCGUUUGGGAGAUGAAGGUGCCGUCCUUGAGUUGCUUCACUUGGAACCCAAGGAAGUAGUUCAACUCGCCCAUCAUCGACAUCUCGAAUUUCUGCAUCAUCACCCUGCUAAACUCUUCACAAGACUUUUGGUUAGUGGAGCCAAAUAUUAUGUCAUCGACAUAAAUUUGGCACACAAAAAGAUCACCAUCGCAAGUCUUAGUAAAAAGAGUUGGAUCGGCUUUCCCAACCUUGAAAGCAUUAGCAAUUAAAAAGUCUCUAAGGCAUUCAUACCAUGCUCUUGGGGCUUGCUUAAGUCCAUAGAGCGCCUUAGAGAGCUUACACACGUGGUCGGGGUACCGUUCAUCCUUGAAGCCAGGGGGUUGCUCUACGUACACCUCCUCCUUGAUUGGCCCGUUGAGGAAAGCGCUCUUCACAUCCAUUUGGAACAACCUGAAAGAAUGGUGAGCGGCAUAUGCUAGCAAGAUACGAAUGGACUCUAGUCUAGCCACAGGAGCAAAAGUCUCCUCAAAGUCCAAACCUGCGACUUGGGCAUAACCUUUUGCCACAAGUCGAGCCUUGUUCCUUGUCACCACCCCGUGCUCGUCUUGUUUGUUGCGGAACACCCACUUGGUUCCCACAACAUUUUGUUUAGGACGAGGCACCAGUGUCCAAACUUCAUUCCUCUUGAAGUUGUUGAGCUCCUCUUGCAUGGCCAACACCCAGUCCGGAUCUAGCAAGGCCUCCUCUACCCUGAAAGGCUCAAUAGAAGAUACAAAGGAGUAAUGCUCACAAAAAUUAACUAAUCGAGACCGAGUAGUUACUCCCUUGCUAAUGUCACCUAAAAUUUGGUCGACGGGAUGAUCCCUUUGAAUCGUCGCUCGAACUUGGGUUGGAGGUGCCGGUUGUGCUUCUUCCUCCAUCACAUGAUCAUCUUGUGCUCCCCCUUGAUCACACGCCUCCUCUUGAUGAACCUGUUCAUUGUCUUGAGUUGGGGGAUGCACCAUUGUUAAGGAAGAAGGUUGAUCUUGCUCCUUUCGUUCCUGUGGUCGUAUAUCACCAAUCGCCAUGGUUCAUAUUGCGGUCGUCGGAACAUCUUCUUCAUCUACAUCAUCAAGAUCAACAACUUGCUCUCUUGGAGAGCCAUUAGUCUCAUCAAAUACAACGUCGCUAGAGACUUCAACCAAACCCGAUGAUUUGUUGAAGACCCUAUACGCCUUUGUAUUUGAAUCAUAACCUAGCAGAAACCCUUCUACAGCUUUGGGAGCAAAUUUAGAAUUUCUACCCUUCUUCACUAGAAUGUAGCAUUUACUCCCAAAAACUCGGAAAUACGAAACAUUGGGUUUGUUACCGGUUAGUAGCUCAUACGAAGUCUUCUUGAGGAGGCGAUGAAGGUAGACCCGGUUGAUGGUGUGGCAAGCCGUGUUCACGGCUUCCGAUCAAAAGCGCUCGGGGGGUCUUAAACUCUCCAAGCAUCGUCCUCGCCAUGUCGAUUAGCGUCCUGUUCUUCCUCUCUACCACACCAUUUUGCUGUGGUGUGUAGGGAGCGGAGAACUCGUGCUUGAUCCCUUCCUCCUCAAGGUACUCCUCCACUUGAAGGUUCUUGAACUCGGACCCGUUGUCGCUCCUUAUCUUCUUCACCUUGAGCUCAAACUCAUUUUGAGCUCUCCUUAGGAAACGCUUGAUGGUCCCUUGGGUUUCAGACUUAUCCUGCAAAAAGAACACCCAAGUGAAGCGGGAAAAGUCAUCAACAAUAACUAGACCAUACUUACUUCCUCCUAUGCUUAGAUAGGCGACGGGUCCGAAGAGGUCCAUAUGUAGCAGCUCCAGGGGUCUUGAUGAGGUCAUCACAUUCUUGCUGUGAUGCACUCCUCCCACUUGUUUACCUGCUUGACAAGCUGCACAAGGUCUAUCUUUUUCGAAAUGCACGUUAGUUAAACCUAUCACGUGUUCUCCCUUUAGAAGCUUGUGAAGGUUCUUCAUCCCCACAUGUGCUAAACGGCGAUGCCACAGCUAGCCCAUGCAAGUCUUAGCAAUUAAGCAUGCAUCUAGACCGGCCUCCUCUUUUGCAAAAUCAACUAAAUAAAGUUUGCCGUCUAGUACACCCUUAAAAGCUAGUGAACCAUCACACCUUCUAAAGACAGACACAUCUAUAUUUGUGAAUAAACAAUUAUAUCCCAUAUUACAUAAUUGACUAACAGAUAACAAAUUAUAUCCAACUGACUCAACUAAAAACACAUUAGAAAUAGAGUGCUCAUUUGAGAUUGCAAUCUUGCCUAAGCCUUUCACCUUGCCUUGGUUCCCAUCACCGAAUAUGAUUGAAUCUUGGGGAUCCUUGUUCUUGACGUAGGAGGUGAACAUCUCCUUCUCCCCCGUCAUGUGGUUUGUGCAUCCGCUGUCGAUAAUCCAGCUUGAACCCCCGGAUGCAUAAACCUGCAAGGCAAAUUUAGGCUUGGGUUUUAGGUACCCAACUAUUGUUGGGUCCUACAAGGUUAGUCACAAUGGCUUUAGGGACCCAAAUGCAAGUUCUAUCUCCCUUAUAUCUUGCCCCUAACUUCCUAGCAAUUACCUUCUUAUUCUUUCUACAAAUAGCAAAUGAAGCAUUGCAAGCAUGAUAUAUUGUAGAAGGUUCAUUAAUUUUCCUAGGAACAUUAACACCAUUUCUCCUAGGCAUAUUGAUAGUCGCCUAGAGGGGGGGUGAAUAGGGCGAAACUGAAAUUUACAAAUAUAAACACAACUACAAGCCGGGUUAGUGUUAGAAAUAUAAACGAGUCCGAGAGAGAGGGCGCAAAACAAAUCCCAAGCGAGUAAGCAAGUGAGACACGGAGAUUUGUUUUACCGAGGUUCGGUUCUUGCAAACCUACUCCCCGUUGAGGAGGCCACAAAGGCCGGGUCUCUUUCAACCCUUCCCUCUCUCAAACGGUCCCUCGGACCGAGUGAGCUUCUCUUCUCAAAUCAAAUCCGGGAACAAAACUUCCCCGCAAGGGCCACCACACAAUUGGUGCCUCUUGCCUUGAUUACAAUGGAGUUGUGAUCUCAAGAACAAGUGAGAAAGAAAAGAAGCAAUCCAAGCGCAAGAGCUCAAAUGAACACGGCAAAUCACUCUCACUAGUCACUAGGGCUUUGUGUGGAAUUGGAGAGGAUUUGAUCUCUUUAGUGUGUCUAGAAUUGAAUGCUAGAGCUCUUGUAGUAGUUGAGAAGUGGAAAACUUGGAUGCAAUGAAUGGUGGGGUGGUUGGGGUAUUUAUAGCCCCAACCACCAAAAGUGACCGUUGCUGGCAGUCUCUGUUCGAUGGCGCACCGGACAGUCCGGUGCACACCGGACAGUCCGGUGCCUCUGCCACGUCACCAUUGCCGUUGGAUUCUGACCGUUGAGGCUUCUGACUUGUGGGCCUGCCGAGGUGUCCGGUGCACACCGGACAUGCACUGUUUGAUGUCCGGUGCACCGGUAUGGGCAGCCCUGACGUCUGCGCGCGCUGCGCGCGCAUUUAAUGCUGCGCAGGGAGCCAUUGGCGCCGCAGAGAGCCGUUGCUCCGCUGGCACACCGGACAGUCCGGUGCACACCGGACAGUCCGGUGAAUUAUAGCGGAGCGGCUGUCGUGAAAACCCGAGGAUGACGAGUUCCGGAGGCCGCGGUUCGUUGGCGCACCGGACAUGUCCGGUGCACACCGGACAGUCCGGUGAAUUAUAGUGCGCCGGCCUCCGCGAAUUCCCGAGGGCGAAGGGUUGAAGUCGAAGUCCUCUGGCGAAGGGUAGAAAACGAAGUCUACGGGCGCACCGGACACUGUCCGGUGCACACCGGACAGUCCGGUGCCUCCAGCCAGAGGUGCCCUCGGUUGCCUUAUUGCUCCUUUGUUGAAUCCAACACUUGGUCUUUUUAUUGGCUAGAUGUGAACCUUUUGCACCUGUAUAACUUAUACACUAGAGCAAACUAGUCAGUCCAAUAUUUGUGUUGGGCAAUUCAACCACCAAAAUUAUUUAGGAACUAGGUGUAAGCCUAAUUCCCUUUCAAUCUCCCCCUUUUUGGUGAUUGAUGCCAACACAAACCAAAGCAAAUAUAGAAGUGCAUAAUUGAACUAGUUUACAUAAUGUAAGUGCAAAGGUUACUUGGAAUUGAGCCAAUAUAACUACUUACAAGAUAUGCAAGGAAUGUUUCUUUCUUAUAUAACAUUUUGGACCACGUUUGCACCACAUGUUUUGUUUUUGCAAAUUCUUUUUGUAAAUCCAUUUCAAAGAUCUUUUGCAAAUAGUCAAAGGUACAUGAAUAAGAGUUUGCAAAGCAUUUUCAAGAUUUGAAAUUGUCUCCCCCUAUUUCAAAUGCUUUUCCUUUGACUAAACAAAACUCCCCCUAAAAGAGAUCCACCUCUUAGUGUUCAAGAGGGUUUUGAUAUACCAUUUUUGAAAUACUACUUUCUCCCCCUUUUGAACACAAUAGGAUACCAAAUGAUAAAGACUUUUGGAAAGCACUAAGUUUUUGAAUUUGGUGGUGGUGGUGCGGUCCUUUUGCUUUGGGCUCUCAUUUCUCCCCCUUUUUGGCAUGAAUCGCCAAAAACGGAAUCAUUAGAGCCCUUGAAGUGCUAUCUUCCCCUUUGGUCAUAAAAUAAAUGAGUUAAGAUUAUACCAAAAAGCGAAGCUUUUGAGCUUUUACUCUCUUCCCCAGGGAUGAAGUUCUUUUCUUUGAUGCUCAUUUCUCCCCCAAAGAAUAGAGAGUUGCUCGGAGUGAUGGCGAAGUAUGAGUUACGGAGUGGAAGCCUUUGUCUUCGCCGAAGACUCCAAUUCCCUUUCAAUAUACCUAUGACUUGGUUUGAAAUAGACUUGAAAACACAUUAGUCAUAGCAUAUAAAAGAGAUAUGAUCAAGGGUAUUCAAAUGAGCUAUGUGUGCAAGCUUAGCAAAAGAAAUUUCUAGAAUCAAGAAUAUUGAGCUCAUGCCUAAGUCUGGUAAAAGAUUGUUCAUCAAGAGGCUUGGUAAAGAUAUCGGCUAAUUGUUCUUUAGUAUUAAUGUAAGAAAUCUCGAUAUCCCCCUUUUGUUGGUGAUCCCUAAGAAAAUGAUACCGAAUGGCUAUGUGCUUAGUGCGGCUAUGCUCGACGGGAUUGUCGGCCAUUUUAAUUGCACUCUCAUUAUCACAUAGCAAAGGGACUUUGGUUAAUUUGUAACCGUAGUCCCGCAGGGUUUGCCUCAUCCAAAGCAAUUGCGCGCAACAAUGUCCUGCGGCAAUGUACUCGGCUUCGGCGGUGGAAAGAGCGACCGAAUUUUGCUUCUUUGAAGCCCAAGACACCAAGGAUCUUCCCAAGAACUGGCAAGUCCCUGAUGUGCUCUUCCUAUUAAUUUUGCACCCCGCCCAAUCGGCAUCCGAAUAACCAAUCAAAUCAAAUGUGGAUCCCCGAGGGUACCAAAGCCCAAACUUAGGUGUAUAAGCCAAAUAUCUCAAAAUUCGUUUUACGGCCGUAAGGUGUGAUUCCUUAGGGUCGGAUUGGAAUCUUGCACACAUGCAAACGGAAAGCAUAAUGUCCGGUCGAGAUGCACAUAAAUAAAGCAAUGAACCAAUCAUCGACCGGUAUACCUUUUGAUCCACGGACUUACCUCCCGUGUCGAGGUCGAGAUGCCCAUUAGUUCCCAUGGGUGUCUUGAUGGGUUUGGCAUCCUUCAUCCCAAACUUGGUUAGAAUGUCUUGAGUGUACUUCGUUUGGCAAAUGAAGGUGCCCUCUUGGAGUUGCUUGACUUGGAAUCCUAGAAAAUACUUCAACUCCCCCAUCAUCGACAUCUCGAAUUUCUGUGUCAUGAUCCUACUAAACUCUUCACAUGUAGACUCGUUAGUAGACCCAAAUAUAAUAUCAUCAACAUAAAUUUGGCAUACAAACAAGUCAUUCUCAAGAGUUUUAGUAAAGAGUGUAGGAUCGGCCUUGCCAACUUUGAAGCCAUUAGCAAUAAGGAAAUCUCUUAGGCAUUCAUACCAUGCUCUUGGGGCUUGCUUGAGCCCAUAAAGCGCCUUAGAGAGCCUAUAGACAUGGUUAGGAUACUCACUGUCUUCAAAGCCGGGAGGUUGCUCAACAUAGACCUCUUCCUUGAUUGGUCCGUUGAGGAAGGCACUUUUCACGUCCAUUUGAUAGAGCUUAAACCCAUGGUAAGUAGCAUAGGCCAAUAAUAUGCGAAUUGACUCAAGCCUAGCUACGGGUGCAUAGGUUUCACCAAAAUCCAAACCUUCGACUUGUGAAUACCCUUUGGCCACGAGUCGAGCUUUGUUCCUUGUCACCACACCAUGCUCAUCUUGCUUGUUGCGGAAGACCCAUUUGGUUCCUACAACAUUUUGGUUAGGACGUGGAACUAAAUGCCAGACCUCAUUCCUCGUGAAAUUGUUGAGCUCCUCUUGCAUCGCCACCACCCAAUCCGAAUCUUGGAGAGCUUCCUCUACCCUGUGUGGCUCAAUAGAGGAAACAAAAGAGUAAUGUUCACAAAAAUGAGCAACCCGAGAUCGAGUAGUUACCCCCUUAUGAAUGUCGCCGAGGAUGGUGUCGACGGGGUGAUCUCGUUGGAUUGCUUGGUGGACUCUUGGGUGUGGCGGUCUUGGUUCUUCCUCAUCCUCCUUUUCUUGAUCAUUUGUAUCUCCCCCUUGAUCAUUGCUAUCAUCUUGAGGUGGCUCGUCUUCUUGAUUUUGCUCUUCAUCAUUUUGAGCCUCAUCCUCAUUUUGAGUUGGUGGAGAUGCUUGCAUGGAGGAGGAUGGUUGAUCUUGUGUACUUGGAGGCUCUUCGGAUUCCUUAGGACACACAUCCCCGAUGGACAUGUUCCUUAGCGCGAUGCAUGGAGCCUGUUCUUCACCUAUCUCAUCAAGAUCAACUUGCUCUACUUGAGAGCCGUUAGUUUCAUCAAACACAACGUCACAAGAGACUUCAACUAGUCCAGUGGACUUGUUAAAGACCCUAUAUGCCCUUGUGUUUGAGUCAUAACCAAGUAAAAAGCCUUCUACAGUUUUAGGAGCAAAUUUAGAUUUUCUACCUCUUUUAAUAAGAAUGAAGCAUUUGCUACCAAAAACUCUAAAAUAUGAAAUGUUGGGCUUUUUACCGGUUAGGAGUUCAUAUGAUGUCUUCUUGAGGAUUCGGUGAAGAUAUAACCGGUUGAUGGCGUAGCAGGCGGUGUUGACCGCUUCGGCCCAAAACCGGUCCGGUGUCUUGUACUCAUCAAGCAUGGUUCUUGCCAUGUCCAAUAGAGUUCGAUUCUUCCUCUCCACUAUACCAUUUUGUUGUGGCGUGUAGGGAGAGGAGAACUCAUGCUUGAUGCCCUCCUCCUCAAGGAAGCCUUCAAUUUGAGAGUUCUUGAACUCCGUCCCGUUGUCGCUUCUUAUUUUCUUGAUCCUUAAGCCGAACUCAUUUUGAGCUCGUCUCAAGAAUCCCUUUAAGGUCUCUUGGGUUUGAGAUUUUUCCUGUAAAAAGAAUACCCAAGUGAAGCGAGAAUAAUCAUCCACAAUAACAAGACAAUACUUACUCCCGCCGAUGCUUAUGUAAGCAAUCGGGUCGAAUAGAUCCAUGUGGAGUAGCUCAAGCGGCCUGUCGGUCGUCAUGAUGUUCUUGUGUGGGUGAUGGACUCCAACUUGCUUCCCUGCCUGGCAUGCGCUACAAAUCCUGUCUUUCUCAAAAUGAACAUUUGUUAAUCCUAAAAUGUGCUCUCCCUUUAGAAGCUUGUGAAGAUUCUUCAUUCCAACAUGGGCUAGUCGGCGGUGCCAGAGCCAACCCAUGUUAGUCUUAGCAAUUAAGCAUGUGUCGAGUUCAGCUCUAUCAAAAUCCACUAAGUAUAGCUGACCCUCUAACACACCCUUAAAUGCUAUUGAAUCAUCACUUCUUCUAAAGACAGUGACACCUAUAUCAGUAAAAAGACAGUUGUAGCCCAUUUGACAUAAUUGAGAAACGGAAAGCAAGUUGUAAUCUAAGGACUCUACAAGAAAAACAUUGGAAAUGGAAUGGUCAGGAGAUAUAGCAAUUUUACCAAGACCUUUGACCAAACCUUGAUUUCCAUCCCCGAAUGUGAUAGCUCGUUGGGGAUCUUGGUUUUUCUCAUAUGAGGAGAACAUCCUUUUCUCCCCUGUCAUGUGGUUUGUGCACCCGCUAUCGAGUAUCCAACUUGAGCCCCCGGAUGCAUAAACCUACAAAACAAAUUUAGUUCUUGACUUUAGGUACCCAAACGGUUUUGGGUCCUUUGGCAUUAGAAACAAGAACUUUGGGUACCCAAACACAAGUCUUGGAACCCUUGUGUUUGCCCCCAACAAAUUUGGCAACUACCUUGCCGGAUUUGCUAGUAAGCACAUAAGAUGCAUCAAAAGUUUUAAAUGAAAUGGCAUGAUCAUUUGAUGCAUUAGGAAUUUUCUUCUUAGGCAACUUAGCAUGGGUUGGUUGCCUAGAACUAGAUGUCUCACCCUUAUACAUAAAAGCAUGAUUAGGGCCAGAGUGAGACUUCCUAGAAUGAAUCUUCCUAAUUUUGCUCUCAGGAUAGCCGGCAGGGUAUAAAAUGUAACCCUCGUUAUCCUGAGGCAUGGGAGCUUUGCCCUUAACAAAGUUAGACAAGUUCUUAGGAGGGGCAUUAAGUUUGACAUUGUCUCCCCUUUGGAAGCCAAUGCCAUCCUUGAUGCCAGGGCGUCUCCCAUUAUAAAGCAUGCUACGAGCAAAUUUAAAUUUCUCAUUUUCUAAGUUGUGCUCGGCAAUUUUAGCAUCUAGUUUAGCUAUAUGAUCAUUUUGUUGCUUAAUUAAAAUCAUGUGAUCAUGAAUAGCAUCAAUAUCAACAUUUCUACAUCUAGUACAAAUAGAUACAUGCUCAACAAUAGAUGUAGAGGGUUUGCAAGAUUUUAAUUCUACAACCUUAGCAUGCAGCAUAUCAUUUUUAGUUCUAAGGUCAGAAAUUGUAACAUUGCAAACAUCUAGUUCUUUAGCCUUAGUAAUCAACUUUUCAUUUUCUACUCUAAGGCUAGCAAGAGAAAUGUUCAAUUCUUCAAUCCUAGCAAGCAAAUCAUCAUUAUUAUCUCUAGGAGUGGAAAUUGAAACAUCACAAACAUGAGAAUCAACCUUAGCAUUUAAAAUAGCAUUUUCAUUCCUAAGGUUGUCAAUUAUUUCACGGCAAGUGCUUAGCUCACUAGAUAAUUUUUCACAUUUUUCUACUUCUAGAGCAUAAGCCUUUUUAACCUUAACAUGUUUUUUGUUUUCUUUAAUUAGACAAUCCUCUUGGGAAUCCAAAAGGUCGUCCUUUUCAUGAAUAGCACUAACCAAUUCAUUCAAUUUUUCUUUUUGAGCUAUGUUAAGGUUGGCAAAAAGGGAACGCAAAUUAUCUUCCUCAUCACUAGCAUUGUCAUCACUAGAGGAUUCAUAUUUAGUGGAGGAUUUAGAUUUAACCUUCUUUUUGCCGUCCUUUGCCAUGAGGCACUUGUGGCCGACGUUGGGGAAGAGGAGUCCCUUGGUGACGGCGAUGUUGGCGGCGUCCUCGUCGUCGGAGGAGUCGCUUGAGCUUUCGUUGGAGUCCCACUCGCGACAAACAUGGGCAUCGCCGCCCUUCUUCUUGUAAUACCUCUUCUUUUCCUUUCGUCUCCCCUUCUUGUCGUCACCUCGGUCACUGUCACUAGAUAUAGGACAUUUAGCAAUAAAAUGACCGGGCUUACCACACUUGUAGCAAACCUUCUUGGAGCGGGACUUGUAGUCUUUCCCCCUCCUUUGUUUGAGGAUUUGGCGGAAGCUCUUGAUGACGAGCGCCAUCUCCUCAUUGUCAAGCUUGGAGGCGUCUAUUGGUUGUCGGCUUGGUGUAGACUCCUCCUUCUUUUCUUCCGUCGCCUUGAAUGCAACGGGUUGAGCUUCGGAUGGCUCGCCAAGCUCGUUGAUUUUCCUCGAGCCUUCUAUCAUGCACUCAAAACUUACAAAAUGCCCGAUGACUUCCUCGGGGGUCAUUUUAGUAUAUCUAGGAUUGCCACGAAUCAAUUGAACUUGAGUGGGAUUAAGAAAAAUAAGAGAUCUUAAAAUAACAUUUACCACUUCGUGGUCGUCCCACUUCUUGCUCCCGAGGUUGCACACUUGGUUUAUCAAAGUCUUGAGCCGGUUGUACAUGUGUUGUGGCUCCUCCCCUUUGUGAAGCCGGAACCGACCGAGCUCCCCCUCGAUCGUUUCCCUCUUGGUGAUCUUGGUGAGCUCAUCUCCCUCGUGCGCAGUUUUGAGCACAUCCCAAAUCUCCUUUGCAUUUUUCAACCCUUGCACUUUGUUGUAUUCUUCCUUGCUUAGAGAGGCAAGGAGUAUGGUUGUGGCUUGAGAGUUGAAGUGCUCGAUUUGGGCCACCUCAUCCUCAUCAUAGUUUUCAUCCCCUACGGAUGGUACCUGCGCACCAAACUCAACAACAUCCCAUAUGCUUUUGUGGAGCGAGAUUAGAUGAAAUCGCAUUAAAUCGCUCCACCUAGCGUAAUCUUCACCAUCAAAAGUUGGUGGUUUGCCUAGUGGGACGGAAAGUAAAGGUGUAUGUUUGGAAAUGCGAGGGUAGCGUAGAGGGAUCUUACUAUACUUCUUGCGCUCUUGGCGCUUAGAAGUGACGGAGGGCGCAUCGGAGUCGGAGGUCGAUGUUGAUGAAGUGUCGGUCUCGUAGUAGACCACCUUCCUCAUCCUCUUGUGCUUGUCGCCUUUCCGAUGUGGCUUGUGGGAAGAAGAUUUUUCCUUCUUCUCUUUGUGGUGAGAAGAAGAUUUCUUCUCCUUCCCUUUGUUGGAGGAGCUCUUCUUCUUCUCCCUCCUUUUGGUGCGGGACUCUUCCGAUGAAGUGCUCCCGUAGCUUGUAGUGGGCUUUUCGCCGGUCUCCUUCUUGGCGUGAUCUCCCGACAUCACUUCGAGCGGUUAGGCUCUAAUGAAGCACCGGGCUCCGAUACCAAUUGAUAGUCGCCUAGAGGGGGGGUGAAUAGGGCGAAACUGAAAUUUACAAAUAUAAACACAACUACAAGCCGGGUUAGUGUUAGAAAUAUAAACGAGUCCGAGAGAGAGGGCGCAAAACAAAUCCCAAGCGAGUAAGCAAGUGAGACACGGAGAUUUGUUUUACCGAGGUUCGGUUCUUGCAAACCUACUCCCCGUUGAGGAGGCCACAAAGGCCGGGUCUCUUUCAACCCUUCCCUCUCUCAAACGGUCCCUCGGACCGAGUGAGCUUCUCUUCUCAAAUCAAAUCCGGGAACAAAACUUCCCCGCAAGGGCCACCACACAAUUGGUGCCUCUUGCCUUGAUUACAAUGGAGUUGUGAUCUCAAGAACAAGUGAGAAAGAAAAGAAGCAAUCCAAGCGCAAGAGCUCAAAUGAACACGGCAAAUCACUCUCACUAGUCACUAGGGCUUUGUGUGGAAUUGGAGAGGAUUUGAUCUCUUUAGUGUGUCUAGAAUUGAAUGCUAGAGCUCUUGUAGUAGUUGAGAAGUGGAAAACUUGGAUGCAAUGAAUGGUGGGGUGGUUGGGGUAUUUAUAGCCCCAACCACCAAAAGUGACCGUUGCUGGCAGUCUCUGUUCGAUGGCGCACCGGACAGUCCGGUGCACACCGGACAGUCCGGUGCCUCUGCCACGUCACCAUUGCCGUUGGAUUCUGACCGUUGAGGCUUCUGACUUGUGGGCCUGCCGAGGUGUCCGGUGCACACCGGACAUGCACUGUUUGAUGUCCGGUGCACCGGUAUGGGCAGCCCUGACGUCUGCGCGCGCUGCGCGCGCAUUUAAUGCUGCGCAGGGAGCCGUUGGCGCCGCAGAGAGCCGUUGCUCCGCUGGCACACCGGACAGUCCGGUGCACACCGGACAGUCCGGUGAAUUAUAGCGGAGCGGCUGUCGUGAAAACCCGAGGAUGACGAGUUCCGGAGGCCGCGGUUCGUUGGCGCACCAGACAUGUCCGGUGCACACCGGACAGUCCGGUGAAUUAUAGUGCGCCGGCCUCCGCGAAUUCCCGAGGGCGAAGGGUUGAAGUCGAAGUCCUCUGGCGAAGGGUAGAAAACGAAGUCUACGGGCGCACCGGACACUGUCCGGUGCACACCGGACAGUCCGGUGCCUCCAGCCAGAGGUGCCCUCGGUUGCCUUAUUGCUCCUUUGUUGAAUCCAACACUUGGUCUUUUUAUUGGCUAGAUGUGAACCUUUUGCACCUGUAUAACUUAUACACUAGAGCAAACUAGUCAGUCCAAUAUUUGUGUUGGGCAAUUCAACCACCAAAAUUAUUUAGGAACUAGGUGUAAGCCUAAUUCCCUUUCACAUAUGAUGAACAACAUUUAUCCUAGACAUAUCUCUAUCAUGCAUAUAGGAAGAACUAGAAGCAAACAUAGCAUAUGAAUCAAAAGUAUCAUAACUUCUAUAGGCAUUUCUAGAAUGUCUCCUAUCAUGAUACAUAAAGGCAUGGUUCUUUUUAGCAUUACUAGACAUAGGGGCCUUCCCUUUUUCCUUGGCGGGAAUGGGAGUCUUAUGGCUUGUUAAGUUCUUGGCUUCCCUCUUGAAGCCAAGUCCAUCCUUAAUUGAGGGGUGUCUACCAAUCGUAUAGGCAUCCCUUGCAAAUUUUAGCUUAUCAAAUUCACUUUUGCUAGUCUUAAGUUGGGCAUUAAGACUAGCCAUUUCAUCAUUUAACUUUGCGAUAGAAGCUAUGUGUUCACUACAAGCAUCAAUAUCGAAAUCUUUACACCUAUUGCAAAUUAUGACAUGUUCUACACAAGAGUUAGAUUUAUUUGCUACUUCUAGUUUAGCAUUUAAUUCAUCAUUAACACCUCUUAAAGUAGAAAUGGUUUCAUGACAUGUAGAUAGUUCACAAGAAAACAUUUCAUUCCUUUUAAUUUCUAGAGCAAGAGAAUUUUGCGCGCUAACAAAUUUAUCAUGCUCUUCAUAUAAAAUGUCCUCUUGCUUUUCUAAUAAUCUAUUCUUAUCAUUUAAAGCAUCAAUCAAUUCAUUUAUCUUAUCUAUUUUGGUUCUAUCUAAACCCUUGAAUAAACAUGAAUAAUCUAUUUCAUCAUCACUAGACUCAUCCUCACUUGAAGAAGCAUAAGUACUAGUAUUACGAGCGCUUACUUUCUUUUCCCUUGCCAUGAGGCAAGUGUGAUGCUCGUUGGGGAAGAUGGCCGAUUUGUUGAAGGCGGUGGCGGCGAGUCCUUCAUUGUCGGAGUCGGAAGAGGAGCAAUCCGAAUCCCACUCCUUUCCAAGGUGCGCCUCGCCCUUGGCCUUCUUGUAAUUCUUCUUCUUUUCCCUCUUGUUCCCUUGUUCCUGGCCACUAUCAUUAUCAGGACAGUUAGCGAUAAAAUGACCAAUCUUACCACAUUUGAAGCAUGAGCGCUCCCCCUUCGUCUUGGUCUUUUUGGGAUGCUUUUUGCGUCCCUUUAGCGCCGUCUUGAAGCGCUUGAUGAUGAGGGCCAUCUCUUCAUCAUUGAGCCCGGCCGCCUCAACUUGCGCUACCUUGCUAGGUAGUGCCUCCUUGCUCCUUGAUGCCUUGAGAGCAAUGGGUUGAGGCUCAUGGAUUGGACCGUUCAUUGCGUCGUCCACAUAUCUCGCCUCCUUUAUCAUCAUUCGCCCGCUCACGAACUUCCCAAGAACUUCUUCGGGCGACAUCUUUGUGUACCUAGGAUUUUCACGAAUAUUGUUCACAAGAUGUGGAUCAAGAACAGUAAAGGACCUUAGCAUUAGACGAAUGACGUCGUGGUCCGUCCAUCACGUGCUUCCGUAGCUCCUUAUCUUGUUGAUGAGGGUAUUGAGCCGGUUGUAUGUUUGGGUUGGCUCCUCUCCCCUUAUCAUUGCAAAUCUCCCAAGCUCGCCCUCGACCAACUCCAUCUUGGUGAGCAUGGUGACGUUGUUCCCCUCAUGUGAGAUCCUGAGGGUGUCCCAGAUCUGCUUGGCAUUGUCCAAGCCGCUCACCUUAUUGUACUCUUCCCUGCACAAAGAUGCUAACAGGACAGUAGUAGCUUGUGCAUUUUUAUGGAUUUGUUCAUUUAUAAACAUGGGACUAUCCGAGCUAUCAAAUUUCAUUCCACUCUCUACAAUCUCCCAUAUGCUUGGAUGGAGAGAGAACAAGUGACUACACAUUUUGUGACUCCAAAAUCCGUAGUCCUCCCCAUCAAAGUGUGGAGGUUUGCCAAGAGGAAUGGAUAGCAAAUGUGCAUUUGAGUUAUGCGGAAUACGAGAAUAAUCGAAAGAAAAGUUUGAGUUAACCGUCUUUCUUUUGUCGUAGUCGUUGUCGUCGUUGUCCUUUUGGGAAGAAGAGGACUCAUCGCUGUCGUCGUAGUAGACGAUCUCCUUGAUGCGCCUCGUCUUCUUCUUCCCAUCUCUUCGUUUGUGGCCCGAGCCUGAGUCGGUAGGCUUGUCAUCUUUUGGCUCGUUGACGAAGGACUCCUUCUCCUUAUCAUUGAUCACGAUCCCCUUGCCCUUAGGAUCCAUCUCUUCGGGCGAUUAGUCCCUUACUUGAAGAGAACGGCUCUGAUACCAAUUGAGAGCACCUAGAGGGGGGGGGGUGAAUAGGUGAUCCUGUAAAACUUGAACUUAAUGCCACAAAAACUUAGUUAAGCGUUAGCACAGUAAUGCCAAGUGGCUAGAGAAGAGUCUUAGCGAAACACAAUAACCACAAGAGAAUCAACACAGAUAGACAUAGUGGUUUAUCCCGUGGUUCGGCCAAGUACAACACUUGCCUACUUCCACGUUGUGGCGUCCCAACGGACGAGGGUUGCAAUCAACCCCUCUCAAGCGGUCCGAAGACCCACUUGAAUACCACGGUGUUUUGCUUUUCUUUUCUAUAUCCCGUUCGCGAGGAAUAUCCACAACUUGGAGCCUCUCGCCCUUACACUUUGAUGUUCACAAAGAAGCACGGAGUAAGGGAGGGAUGAUCAACUCACACAAGACACAAAGAUCACAGCAAAUACGCACACACAAGACCCAGACUUGAGCUCAAGAGACUAUCACAAGUUUCACACUAGAACGGAGCUCAAAUCACUAAGAAUGUCGAACAAGUUCGCAAGAAUGGAGUGUGAGUGAUCAACAAUGCUCAAAGGAUGCUUGGUGUACUCCUCCAUGUGCCUAGGGGCCCUUUUAUAGCCCCAAGGCAGCUAGGAGCCGUUGAGAGCAUUUCAAGAAGGCAAUUCUUGCCUUCUGUCGCCUGGUGAAAGGGAAUUAGGCUUACACCUAGUUCCUAAUUGAUUUUGGUGGUUGAAUUGCCAAACACAAAUAAUUGGACUAACUAGUUUGUUCUAGUGUACAAGUUAUACAGGUGCCAAAGGUUCACACAUAGCCAAUAAAAAGACCAAGUAUGGGGUUCAACAAAGAGAGCAAGGGAUAACCGAAGGCACCUCUGGUCUGGCGCACCGGACUGUCCGGUGUGCCACCGGACAGUGUCCGGUGCACCAGGGGACUUCACGCUGAACUCUUCACCUUCGGGAAAAUCCAGAGGCGCUCCGCUAUAAUUCACCGGACUGUCCGGUGCUCCAAGGAAAUGCGACUCUGGAACUCGCCAGCUUCGGGAAUUUGCUCCGCUAUAAUUCAUCGGACAUGUACGGUGUACACCGGACUGUCCGGUGAGCCAGCGGGGCAACGACUACUUCGCGCCAACGGUCACUUGCAGGCGCAUUUAAUGCGCGCCAGAAGCGCGCAGAAGUCAGGCACGUGCGAGAUGGUGCACCGGACAAUCUACAGUACUUGUCCGGUGUACACCGGACAGCCAGGCGGGCCCAGAAGUCAGAAGCUCCAACGGUCGAAUCCCAACGGCCUGGUGACGUGGCUGGCGCACCGGACAUGUUCGGUGUGCACCGGACUGUCCGGUGCACCAUACGACAGUCAGUCACCACCAAACGGCUAGUUUGGUGGUUGGGGCUAUAAAUACCCCCAACCACCCCACAUUCAAGUCAUCCAAGUUUUCCCACUUCAACUACUUACAAGGGCUCUAGCAUUCAAUUCUAGACACACCCAAGUGAUCAAAUCCUCUCCAAACUCCACACAACGCCCUAGUGAUUAGUGAGAGAGAUUUGCUUGUGUUCUUUCGAGCUCUUGCGCUUGGAUUGCUUUCUUCUUUCUUUGAGUUUUUAUUGCGAUCAAACUCACUUGUAAUUGAGGCAAGAGACACCAAUCUUGUGGUGGUCCUUUUGGGAACUUUGUGUUCCAAGUGAUUGAGAAGAAAAGCUCACUCGGUCCGAGGGACCGUUUGAGAGAGGGAAAGGGUUGAAAGAGACCCGGUCUUUGUGACCACCUCAACGGGGAGUAGGUUUGCGAGAACCGAACCUCAGUAAAACAAAUCCGCGUGUCACACUUCUUAUUUGCUUGCGAUUUGUUUUGCACCCUCUCUCGCGAACUCGAUUAUAUUUCUAACGCUAACCCGGCUUGUAGUUGUGAUUAUUUUUGAGAAUUUCAGUUUCGCCCUAUUCACCCCCCCUCUAGGCGACUUUCAAUUGGUAUCAAAGUCGGUGCUUCAUUAGAGCCUAACCGCUCGAAGUGAUGUCGGGAGAUCACGCCAAGAAGGAGAUGGAAACCGGCGAAAAGCCCACUACAAGCAAUGAGAAAGCUCUAUCGGGAGAGUCCCGCAACAAGGAGAAGAAGAAGGAAAAGAAGAAGGAAAGGAAGACUUCUUCUCACAAGUCGCAUCGGAGUGGCGACAAAAUAAAGAAGAUGAGGAAGGUGGUCUACUACGAGACCGACACUUCAUCACCUUCUACCUCCGGCUCUGACGCGCCCUCCAUAACUUCUAAGCGCCAUGAGCGCAAGAAGUUUAGUAAGAUCCCCUUACAUUAUCCUCGUAAUUCUAGACAUACUCCAUUACUUUCCGUUCCAUUAGGCAAACCGCCAACCUUUGACGGUGAAGAUUAUGCUAGGUGGAGUGAUUUAAUGAAAUUUCAUCUAACCUCACUCCACAAAAGUAUAUGGAAUGUUGUUGAGUUUGGAGCACAGGUACCAUCCGUAGGGGAUGAAGACUAUGAUGUGGAUGAAGUGGCCCAAAUCGAGCACUUCAACUCCCAAGCCACAACCAUACUCCUCGCCUCUCUAAGUAUGGAGGAGUACAACAAGGUGCAAGGAUUAAAAAGCGCCAAGGAAGUUUGGGACGUGCUCAAGACGGCGCACGAGGGUGAUGAACUCACCAAGAUCACCAAGCGGGAAACGAUCGAGGGGGAGCUCGGUCGCUUCCGUCUUUGCCAAGGGGAGGAGCCACAAGAUAUGUACAACCGGCUCAAGACCUUGGUAAAUCAAGUGCGCAACCUCGGGAGCAAAAAGUGGGAUGACCACGAGGUGGUUAAGGUUAUUCUAAGAUCUCUUAUUUUCCUUAACCCUACUCAAGUACAAUUAAUUCGUGGUAAUCCAAGAUAUACACUAAUGACUCCCGAGGAAGUAAUCGGGAAUUUUGUGAGCUUUGAAUUUAUGAUCAAGGGCUCACGGAAGAUCAACGAGCUUGACGGUCCCUUCACGUCCGAAGCUCAACCGGUUGCAUUUAAGGCAACAGAGAAGAAGAAGGAGGAGUCUAUACCAAGUAGACAACCAAUCGACGCCUCCAAGCUCGACAAUGAGGAAAUGGCGCUCGUCAUCAAGAGCUUCUGCCAAAUCCUCAAACAAAGGAGGGGGAAGGACUACAAACCUCGCUCCAAGAAAGUGUGUUACAAAUGUGGUAAGCCCGAUCAUUUUAUUGCAAAAUGUCCUAUAUCUAGUGACAGUGACAGGGGCGACGACAAGAAGGGGAGAAGAAAGGAGAAGAAGAGAUACUACAAGAAGAAGGGCGGCGAUUCCCAUGAUUGUCGGGAGUGGGACUCCGACGAAAGCUCUAGCGACUCCUCCGACGAUGAGGACGCCACCAACAUCGCCGUCACCAAGGGACUUCUCUUCCCCAACGUCGGCCACAAGUGCCUCAUGGCAAAGGACGGUAAAAAGAAGAAGGUUAAAUCUAGAUCCUCCAGUAGAUAUGAAUCCUCUAGUGAUGAAAAUGCUAGUGAUGAGGAAGAUAACUUGCGCACUCUUUUUGCCAACUUAAACAUGCAACAAAAGGAGAAAUUAAAUGAAUUAAUUAGUGCCAUCCAUGAAAAGGAUGAUCUCUUGGACUCCCAAGAGGACUUCCUAAUCAAGGAAAACAAAAACAUGUUAAAGUUAAAAAUGCUUAUGCUCUAGAAGUUGAAAAAUGUGAAAAAUUAUCUAGUGAGCUAAGCACUUGCCAUGAGACAAUAGACAACCUUAGAAAUGAGAAUUUUAAUUUGGUAGCUAAGGUUGAUUCUAUUGCUUGUAAUGUUUCAAUUCCCAAUCUUAGAAAUGAUAAUGAUGAUUUGCUUGCUAAGAUUGAAGAAUUGAACAUUUCUCUUGCUAGCCUUAGAGAUGAAAAUGAAAAAUUGCUUGCUAAGGCUAAAGAUUUUGAUGUUUGCAAUGCUACUAUUUCCGAUCUUAGAGAUAAAAAUGAUAUAUUGCGUUCUAAGAUUGUUGAACUAAAAUCUUGCAAACCCUCUACAUCUACCAUUGAGCACACCUCUAUUUGUACUAGAUGUAGAGAUGUUGAUGUUAAUGCUAUUCAUGAUCACAUGGCUUUAAUUAAACAACAAAAUGAUCAUAUAGCAAAACUAGAUGCUAAGAUUGCCGAGCAUGACUUAGAAAAUGAAAAAUUUAAAUUUGCUAGAAGCAUGCUCUAUAGAGGGAGACGCCCUGGCAUUAAGGAUGGCAUUGGCUUCCAACAGGGAGGCAAUGUCAAAAUUAAUGCCCCUCCUAAGAAGUUGUCUAAUUUUGUUAAGGGCAAGGCUCCCAUGCCUCAGGAUAACGAGGGAUACAUUUUGUACCCUGCCGGUUAUCCUGAGAGCAAAAUUAGGAGAAUUCAUUCUAGGAAGUCUCACUCUGGCCCUAACCAUGCUUUCAUGUAUAAGGGUGAGACAUCUAGUUCUAGGCAACAAUCCCAUGUUAAGUUGCCUAAGAAGAAAACUCCUAGUGCAUCAAAUGACCAUGACAUCUCAUUUAAAACUUUUGAUGCAUCUUAUGUUUUGACUAACAAAUCCGGCAAGGUAGUUGCCAAAUAUGUUGGGGGCAAGCACAAGGGGUCAAAGACUUGUGUUUGGGUACCCAAAGUUCUUGUAUCUAAUGCCAAAGGACCCAAAACCAUUUGGGUACCUAAAGUGAAGAACUAAACUUGUUUUGUAGGUUUAUGCAUCCGGGGGCUCAAGUUGGAUUAUCGACAGCGGGUGCACAAACCACAUGACAGGGGAGAAGAAGAUGUUCUCCUUCUACGAGAAAAACCAAGAUCCCCAAUGAGCUAUCACAUUCGAGGAUGGAAAUCAAGGUUUGGUCAAAGGAUUGGGUAAAAUUGCUAUAUCUCCUGACCACUCUAUUUCCAAUGUUUUUCUUGUAGAUUCUUUAGAUUACAAUUUGCUUUCUGUAUCUCAAUUAUGCAAAAUGGGCUACAACUGUUUAUUCACUGAUAUAGGUGUCACUGUCUUUAGAAGAAGUGAUGAUUCAGUAGCAUUUAAGGGAGUGUUAGAGGGUCAGCUAUACUUUGUAGAUUUUGAUAGAGCUGAACUCGACACUUGCUUAAUUGCUAAGACUAACAUGGGUUGGCUCUGGCACCGCCGACUAGCCCAUGUUGGGAUGAAGAAUCUUCAAAAGCUUCUAAAGGGAGAACACAUUUUAGGAUUAACAAAUGUUCAUUUUGAGAAACACAGGAUAUGUAGCGCAUGCCAAGCAGGAAAGCAAGUUGGUGCCCAUCAUCCACACAAGAACAUCAUGACGACCGACAGACCACUAGAGCUCCUACACAUGGAUCUAUUCGGCCCGAUUGCUUACAUAAGCAUCGGCGGGAGUAAGUACUGUCUAGUUAUUGUGGAUGACUAUUCUCGCUUCACUUGGGUGUUCUUUUUGCAGGAAAAAUCUCAUACCCAAGAGACCUUAAAGGGAUUCUUGAGACGGGCUCAAAACGAGUUCGGCUUAAGGAUCAAGAAAAUUAGAAGCGACAACGGGACGGAGUUCAAGAACUCACAAAUCGAAGGCUUCCUUGAGGAGGAGGGCAUCAAGCAUGAGUUCUCUUCUCCCUACACGCCACAACAAAAUGGUGUAGUGGAGAGGAAGAAUCGAACUCUAUUGGACAUGGCUAGAACCAUGCUUGAUGAGUACAAGACAUCAGAUCGGUUUUGGGCCGAGGCGGUCAACACCGCCUGCUACGCCAUCAACCGGUUGUAUCUACACCGAAUCCUCAAGAAGACAUCCUAUGAACUCCUAACCGGUAAAAAGCCCAACAUUUCAUAUUUUAGAGUCUUUGGUAGCAAAUGCUUUAUUCUUGUUAAAAGAUGUAGAAAAUCUAAAUUUGCUCCUAAGACUGUAGAAGGCUUUUUACUAGGAUAUGAUUCAAACACAAGGACAUAUAGAGUCUUUAACAAGUCCUCCGGACAAGUUGAAGUCUCCUGUGACGUUGUGUUUGAUGAGACUAACGGCUCUCAAGUAGAGCAAGUUGAUCUUGAUGAGAUAGGUAUUGAAGAGGCUCUAUGUAUCGCGCUAAGGAACAUGUCCAUUGGGGAUGUGUGUCCUAAGGAAUCCGAAGAGCCUCCAAAUGCACAAGAUCAACCAUCCUCCUCCACGCAAGCAUCUCCACCAACUCAAAAUGAGGAUGAGGCUCAAGUUGAUGAAGGAGAAGAUCAAGCAAAUGAGCCACCUCAAGAUGACGGCAAUGAUCAAGGGGGAGAUGCAAAUGAUCAAGAUAAAGAGGAUGAUGAACCAAGACCGCCACACCCAAGAGUCCACCAAGCAAUCCAACGAGAUCACCCCGUCGACACCAUCCUCGGCGACAUUCAUAAGGGGGUAACCACUAGAUCUCGUGUUGCACAUUUUUGUGAGCAUUACUCUUUUGUUUCCUCUAUUGAGCCACACAUGGUAGAGGAAGCACUUCAAGAUUCGGAUUGGGUGGUGGCGAUGCAAGAGGAGCUCAACAACUUCACGAGGAAUGAGGUAUGGCAUUUAGUUCCACGUCCUAAUCAAAAUGUUGUAGGAACCAAAUGGGUCUUCCGCAACAAGCAAGAUGAGCAUGGUGUGGUGAUAAGGAACAAAGCUCGACUUGUGGCCAAGGGAUACUCCCAAGUCGAAGGUUUGGAUUUCGGUAAAACCUAUGCACCCGUAGCUAGGCUUGAGUCAAUUCGAAUAUUAUUAGCCUAUGCUACUUACCAUGGCUUCAAGCUUUACCAAAUGGACGUGAAGAGUGCCUUCCUCAAUGGACCAAUCAAGGAAGAGGUCUAUGUUGAGCAACCUCCCGGCUUUGAAAAUAGUGAGUACCCUCACCAUGUGUAUAAACUCUCUAAGGCGCUUUAUGGGCUCAAGCAAGCCCCAAGAGCAUGGUAUGAAUGCCUUAGGGAUUUCCUUAUCACUAAUGGAUUCAACGUCGGAAAGGCUGAUCCUACUUUAUUCACUAAAACUCUUGAAAAUGACUUGUUUGUUUGCCAAAUUUAUGUUGAUGAUAUUAUAUUUGGGUCUACUAAUGAGUCUACAUGUGAAGAAUUUAGUAGGAUCAUGACACAAAAAUUUGAGAUGUCUAUGAUGGGGGAGUUGAAGUAUUUUUUAGGAUUUCAAGUAAAGCAACUCCAAGAGGGCACCUUCCUAAGCCAAACGAAGUAUACUCAAGAUAUUUUAAGCAAGUUUGGAAUGAAGGAUGCCAAACCCAUCAAGACACCCAUGGGAACCAAUGGGCAUCUCGACCUCGACGAAGGAGGUAAAUCCGUCAAUCAAAAGGUAUACCGGUCGAUGAUAGGUUCCUUACUCUACUUAUGUGCAUCUCGACCGGAUAUUAUGCUUUCCGUAUGCAUGUGUGCAAGAUUCCAAGCCAACCCUAAGGAAGCUCACCUUACGGCCGUAAAACGAAUCUUGAGAUACUUAGUUUAUACUCCUAAGUUUGGGAUUUGGUAUCCUAGGGGAUCCACUUUUGAUUUGAUUGGUUAUUCGGAUGCCGAUUGGGCGGGGUGUAAAAUCAAUAGAAAGAGCACAUCGGGGACUUGCCAGUUCUUGGGAAGAUCCUUGGUGUCUUGGGCUUCAAAGAAGCAAAAUUCGGUCGCUCUUUCUACCGCCGAAGCCGAGUACAUUGCCGCAGGACAUUGUUGCGCGCAACUACUUUGGAUGAGGCAAACCCUUAGGGACUAUGGUUACAAAUUGACCAAAGUUCCUCUUCUAUGUGAUAAUGAGAGUGCAAUCCGCAUGGCGGAUAAUCCCGUUGAGCAUAGCCGCACUAAGCACAUAGCCAUUCGGUAUCACUUUUUAAGGGAUCACCAACAAAAAGGAGAUAUCGAGAUUUCUUACAUUAAUACUAAAGAUCAAUUAGCCGAUAUCUUUACCAAGCCACUUGAUGAACAAACAUUUAACAAACUUAGGCAUGAGCUAAAUAUUCUUGAUUCUAGGAACUUCUUUUGUUGAUUUGCACACAUAGCUCAUUUAUAUACCUUUGAUCAUGUCUCUUUCAUAUGCUAUGACUAAUGUGUUUUCAAGUCCAUUUCAAACCAAGUCAUAGGAGUAUUGAAAGGAAAUUGGAGUCUUCAGCGAAGACAAAGGCUUCCACUCCGUAACCCAUCCUUCGCCGUCACUCCGAGCAACUCUCCAUCUUUAGGGGAGAGAAAAGGACUCCGUCUUUGGUAUAAUCUUCACUCAUUCAUUUAUGACCAAAGGGGGAGAGAGUAAUUCUAAAGGGCUCUAAUGACUCCGUUUUUGGCGAUUCAUGCCAAAGGGGGAGAAAGUAUUAGCCCAAAGCAAAAGGACCGACCGCACCACCACCUAAUUUUAAAAAGAGUUUUUCCAUUGGUAUGAUUCUCAAUAGAUAAAUUUAAAAUUGGUAUCUUAUUAUGUUCAAAAGGGGGAGAAAGUAGCAUUUCAAAAUUGAUAUAUCAAAACCCUGUUGAACUCUAAGAGGAGAAUUUUAUUUAGGGGGAGUUUUGUUUAGUCAAAGGAAAGGCAUUUGAAACAUGGGGAGAAAAAUUCAAGUCUUAAAAAUGCUUCACAAAAUCUUAUUCAUUUACCUUUGACUAUUUGCAAAAGAACUUUGAAAAGGAUUUACAAAAGAAUUUGCAAAAACAAAACAAGUGGUGCAAGCGUGGUCCAAAAUAUUAAAAAUGAAGAAACAAUCCAUGCAUAUCAUAUAAGUAUUAAUAUUGGCUCAAUUCCAAGCAACCUUUGCACUUACAUUAUGCAAACUAGUUCAAUUAUGCACUUCUACAUUUGCUUUGGUUUGUGUUGGCAUCAAUCACCAAAAAGGGGGAGAUUGAAAGGGAAUUAGGCUUACACCUAGUUCCUAAUUGAUUUUGGUGGUUGAAUUGCCCAACACAAAUAAUUGGACUAACUAGUUUGUUCUAGUGUACAAGUUAUACAGGUGCCAAAGGUUCACACUUAGCCAAUAAAAAGACCAAGUAUGGGGUUCAACAACGAGAGCAAGGGAUAACCGAAGGCACCUCUGGUCUGGCGCACCGGACUGUCCGGUGUGCCACCGGACAGUGUCCGGUGCACAAGGGGACUUCACGCUGAACUCUUCACCUUCGGGAAAAUCCAGAGGCGCUCCGCUAUAAUUCACCGGACUGUCCGGUGUACACCAGACACUGUCCGGUGCUCCAAGGAAGAGCGACUCUGGAACUCGCCAGCUUCGGGAAUUUGCUCCGCUAUAAUUCACCGGACAUGUCCGGUGUACACCGGACUGUCCAGUGAGCCAGCGGGGCAACGACUACUUCGCGCCAACGGUCACCUGCAGACGCAUUUAAUGCGCGCCAGAAGCGCGCAGAAGUCAGGCACGCGCGAGAUGGUGCACCGGACAAUCUACAGUACUUGUCCGGUGUACACCGGACAGCCAGGCGGGCCCAGAAGUCAGAAGCUCCAACGAUCGAAUCCCAACGGCCUGGUGACGUGGCUGGCGCACCGGACAUGUCCGGUGUGCACCGGAAUGUCCGGUGCACCAUACGACAGUCAGUCACCACCAAACGGCUAGUUUGGUGGUUGGGGCUAUAAAUACCCCCAACCACCCCACAUUCAAGUCAUCCAUGUUUUCCCACUUCAACUACUUACAAGGGCUCUAGCAUUCAAUUCUAGACACACCCAAGUGAUCAAAUCCUCUCCAAACUCCACACAACGCCCUAGUGAUUAGUGAGAGAGAUUUGCUUGUGUUCUUUCGAGCUCUUGCGCUUGGAUUGCUUUCUUCUUUCUUUGAUUCUUCAUUGCGAUCAAACUCACUUGUAAUUGAGGAAAGAGACACCAAUCUUGUGGUGGUCCUUGUGGGAACUUUGUGUUCCAAGUGAUUGAGAAGAAAAGCUCACUCGGUCCGAGGGACCGUUUGAGAGAGAGGGAAAGGGUUGAAAGAGACCCGGUCUUUGUGACCACCUCAACGGGGAGUAGGUUUGCGAGAACCGAACCUCGGUAAAACAAAUCCACAUGUCACAGUUCUUAUUUGCUUGCGAUUUGUUUUGCACCCUCUCUCGCGAACUUGAUUAUAUUUCUAACGCUAACCCGACUUGUAGUUGUGAUUAUUUUUGAGAAUUUCAGUUUUGCCCUAUUCACCCCCCCUCUAGGCGACUUUCACCUGGCGCACCGGAUAGUCCGGUGCACCACCGGACACUGUCUGGUGCGGAUUUCCUUCCUUAUUUGGCGAAGCCGACCGUUGGCAGACUUGGAGCCGUUGGCGCACCGGACACUGUCCGGUGCACACCGGACAGUCCGGUGCCCCCUACUAGCCGUUGGCUUGACCACGUGUCCCGCGCGGAUCGUGCGGCCGACCGUUGGCUCACCGGACAAUCCGGUGCACACCGGACAGUCCGGUGAAUUUUAGCCGUACGCCGUUAAUUACUUCCCGAGAGCAGCAAGUUUGCCUGAGUCUGCCUGGCGCACCGGACACUGUCCGGUGCACCCAGACUGAGCAGACUUUGGCUGAACAAAGCCAUCUCUUUUCCAAUUUGAUUUCUCCUGUUUCCAGCACUGAGACACAAUACAUCAGUCCAUAAAACAAUGUACUAAGUCUAGAAACAUACCUUUUGACUUGAUUUGCACUUUGUCCACCACUUUGCAUAGAUCUACACUUAGGCACUUGUGUUGGAUACUAAAUCACCAAAAUACUUAGAAAUGGCCCAAAGACACAUUUCUCUUUCAGAGAGAGAGAGAGAUUGACGAUGGUGUUAGCCUGUGCAGCAGCCAGGCUAGUCCACCCAAGCAUUGGCAUGGGCAUGGUGUCCAAGCAGCACCCAAGAACACCGCCGCCGUCCUCCUGCUGCCUACACAUCCACCACAUCCUCUACCUUAGGCCCGUCGCCAGCAGCCACCACUUGGCGCGCCACUCCGUCUACGUCACCAAGGACGACAAGCCGCUUGAGCCGCCGCUGCCGGCGGCUGUAGAGACAGAGAGCACGCAUCAGCAGGAGGACGAGGACGGCGGGCCAAAGCUGGACCCGAGGCGGUUCGAGGAGAAGUUCGCGGUGCUGAACACGGGGGUCCACGAGUGCCGGUCCUACGGGCACCGCUACGACCAGGCGGCGGGGGACCCGUCGUACCCGGUGCCGUCGGGCCUCCCCUUCGCGCAGCUGCCCGACGACUGGCGGUGCCCCACCUGCGGCGCCGCGCAGACUUCUUCGAGAGCAAGAGCGUGGAGAUUGCCGGGUUCGCGCAGAACCAGCAGUUCGGGCUGGGCGGCAACUCCUUCACCUCCGGCCAGAAGGGCCUGCUCAUCUAUGGCAGCCUCCUCAUCGACUUCCUCUUCUUCAUCUCCGGCUACUUCCUGCAAUGAUGACGCCAACAACGACUCUUUCUGAUCUUAUCUGCUUUCCGUUUGUGUGAAUAGAAUACUUCGUCCGUGCAUGUACUCCUCCCCACUCCCAGGGAACAACAUUCAUCAUCAAUCGAGUAGAAACUCUUGGUUUUAGAUUUUUUUUGAUUUGAUGCGGUGAUCGUUAAGUUCACAGGAACACCGAGCGCAUAUCCCCUCCAUGGUUGUAAUAUGUGGGCAACAAAACUACAAACUACACACAAAGCAUGUCAUAGGCAGAGUGGUAGAGGAGGGUACGCGUGGUGCACACAUAUCUUAUCCACCCAUGGCCUGGCCUCCAUCUGUGUUCCUGAUGCCCGUGGCCAUCACCAACCGCCUGUGCUAUUUUUAGUGGCGGUUUAUUAAGAAAACCGCCACUAGAAAUCGUAUUUCCAGAGGCGGUUCCUUAAGAAAACCGCCACUAGAAAUCAUUUUUAUCCUUAAUUUUUCGAGUUUUUCAAACAACCUCGUAUGAUGAAACCACCAAAAUAAAAGUUGUAUAUCUCUGAAAGUUAUAAAACUUUAUAAUUGACAACUGUUUUUUUUUGAAAUCAUUUCGUCUCUCAAAAAUUGUAUCUAAAUUUGUCAAAUUUAAAAUUCAAAUUUUGCAAACGACCUCGGAUUAAAAAUUAUUCAACUUUGUAGUUGACAACGUUUUUAUUUGAAUUAGUUUACGGUCUCAAAUAAGCAAUUUACACUCAUUUGGUUGUAAUAUGUGGGCAACAAAACUACAAACUAGACACAAAGCAUGUCAUAGGCAGAGCGGUAGAGGAGGGUACGCGUGGUGCACACAUAUCUUAUCCACCCAUGGCCUGGCCUCCAUCUGUGUUCCUGAUGCCCGUGGCCAUCACAGGAACACCGAGCGCAUAUCCCCUCCAUGGAUUCCUGCUUCCCUCUCCUUCCCUAGGCCAGCUCCUAGCUUUCUUCCCUAGCUAGGGCAUAUACCGUUUCUAUCCAGGAGGAGUCCAGAGAGACACACACACACACACAGAGAGAGAGAGAGAGAUUGACGAUGGCGUUAGCCUGUGCAGCAGCCAGGCUAGUCCACCCAUGCAUUGGCAUGGGCAUGGUGUCCAAGCAUCACCCAAGAACACCGCCACCGUCCUCCUGCUGCCUACACCUCCACCACAUCCUCUACCUUAGGCCCGUCGCCAGCAGCCACCACUUGGCGCGCCACUCCGUCGACGUCACCAAGGACGACAAGCCGCUUGAGCCGCCGCCGCCGGCGGCUGCAUAGACAGAGAGCACACAGCAGGAGGAGGACGAGGACGGCGGGCCAAAGCUGGACCCGAGGCGGUUCGUGGAGAAGUUCGCGGUGCUGAACACGGGGGUCCACGAGUGCCGGUCCUGCGGGUACCGCUACGACCAGGAGGCGGGGGACCCGUCGUACCCGGUGCCGCCGGGCCUCCCCUUCGCGCAGCUGCCCGACGACUGGCGGUGCCCCACCUGCGGCGCCACGCAGUCCUUCUUCGAGAGCAAGAGCGUGGAGAUCGUCGGGUUCGCGCAGAACCAGCAGUUCGGGCUGGGCGGCAACUCCCUCACCUCCGGCCAGAAGGACCUGCUCAUCUACGGCAGCCUCCUCAUCGGCUUCCUCUUCUUCAUCUCCGGCUACUUCCUGCAAUGAUGAUGCCAACAACGACUCUUUCUGAUCUGAUUUGCUUUCCGUUUGUGUGAAUAGAAUACUUCAUCCGUGCAUGUACUCCUCUCCACUCCUAGGGAACAACAUUCAUCAUCAAUCGACUAGAAACUCUUGGUUUUAGAUUUUUUGAUUUGAUGCGGUGAUCGUUAAGUUCACAGGAACACCGAGCGCAUAUCCCCUCCAUGGUUGUAAUAUGUGGGCAACAAAACUACAAACUAGACACAAAGCAUGUCAUAGGCAGAGUGGUAGAGGAGGGUACGCGUGGUGCACACAUAUCUUAUCCACCCAUGGCCUGGCCUCCAUCUGUGUUCCUGAUGCCCGUGGCCAUCACCAACCGCCUGUGCUAUUUCUAGUGGUGGUUUCUUAAGAAAACCGCCACUAGAAAUCAUGGGUUUCUAGUGGCGGUUUUCUUAAGAAACCGCCAGUAGAAAUCGAUUUCUAGUGGCGGUUUUCUUAAGGAACCGCCACUAGAAAUCAUUUUUAUCCUUAAUUUUUCGAGUUUUUCAAACGACCUCGUAUGAUGAAACCACCAAAAUAAAAGUUGUAGAUCUCUGAAAGUUAUAAAACUUUAUAGUUGACAACUUUUUUUUGAAAUCAUUUCGUCUCUCAAAAAUUGUAUCUAAAUUUGUCAAAUUUAAAAUUCAAAUUUUGCAAACGACCUCGGAUGAAAAAAGUGUCAAAAUGAAAGUUGUAGAACUUCAAAAAUUAUUCAAAUUUGUAGUUGACAACUUUUUUAUUUCAAUUCAUUUACGGUCUCAAACAAGCAAUUUACACUCAUUUGGUUGUAAUAUGUGGGCAACAAAACUACAAACUAGACAAAAAGCAUGCCAUAGGCAGAGUGGUAGAGGACGUUACGUGUGGUGCACACAUAUCUUAUAAACGCAUGGCCUGGCCUCCAUUUGUGUUCCUGAUGCCCGUGGCCAUCACACGAACACCGAGCGCAUUUCCCCUCCAUGGAUUCCUGCUUCCCUCUCCUUCCCUAGGCCAUCUCUUAGCUUUCUUCCCUAGCUAGGGCAUAUAUCGUUUCUAUCUAGGAGGAGUCCAGAGAGAGAGAGAUUGACGAUGGCGUUAGCAUGUGCAGCAGCCAGGCUAGUCCACCUAUGCAUUGGCAUGGGCAUGGUGUCCAAGCAGCACCCAAGAACACCGCUGUCGUCCUCCUGCUGCCUACACCUCCACCACAUCCUCUACCUUAGGCCCGUCGCCAGCAGCCACCACAUGGCGCGCCACUCCGUCUACGUCACAAAGGACGACAAGCCGCUUGAGUCGCCGCCGGCAGCGGCUGCAGAGAUAGAGAGCACGCAGCAGGAGGAGGACGAGGACGGUGGGCCAAAGCUGGACCCGAGGCGGUUCGAGGAGAAGUUCGCGGUGCUGAACACGGGGGUCCACGAGUGCCGGUCCUGCGGGUACCGCUACGACCAGGCGGCGGGGGACCCGUCGUACCCGGUGCUGCCGGGCCUCCCCUUCGCGCAGCUGCCCGACGACUGGCGGUGCCCCACAUGCGGCGCCGCGCAGUCCUUCUUCGAGAGCAAGAGCGUGGAGAUCGCCGGGUUCGCGCAGAACCAGCAGUUCGGGCUGGGCGACAACUCCCUCACCUCCGGUCAGAAGGGCCUGCUCAUCUACGGCAGCCUCCUCAUCGGCUUCCUCUUCUUCAUCUCCGGCUACUUACUGCAAUGAUGACGCCAACAACGACUCUUUCUGAUCUGAUCUGCUUUCCGUUUGUGUGAAUAGAAUACUUCGUCCGUGCAUCUACUCCUCCCCACUCCCAGGGAACAACAUUCAUCAUCAAUCGACUAGAAACUCUUUGUUUUAGAUUUUUUUUGAUUUGAUGCGGUGAUCGUUAAGUUCACAGGAACACCGAGCGCAUAUCCCCUCCAUGGUUGUAAUAUGUGGGCAACAAAACUACAAACUAGACACAAAGCAUGUCAUAGGCAGAGUGGUAGAGGAGGGUACGCGUGGUGCACACAUAUCUUAUCCACCCAUGGCCUGGCCUCCAUCUGUGUUCCUGAUGCCCGGGGCCAUCACAGGAACACCGAGCGCAUAUCCCCUCCAUGGAUUCCUGCUUCCCUCUCCUUCCCUAGGCCAGCUCCUAGCUUUUUCCCUAGCUAGGGCAUAUACCGUUUCUAUCCAGGAGGAGUUCAGAGAGAGAGAGAGAGAUUGACGAUGGCGUUAGCCGUUGCAGCAGCCAGGCUAGUCCACCCAUGCAUUGGCAUGGGCAUGGUGUCCAAGCAGCACCCAAGAACACCGCUGCCGUCCUCCUGCUGCCUACACCUCCACCACAUCGUCUACCUUAGGCUCGUCGCCAGCAGCCACCACUUGGCUCGCCACUCCGUCGACGUCACCAAGGACGACAAGCCGCUUGAGCCGCCGCCGCCGGCGGCUGCAGAGACAGAGAGCACGCAGCAGCAGGAGGACGAGGAUGGCGGGCUAAAGCUGGACCCGAGGCGGUUCGAGGAGAAGUUCGCGGUGCUGAACACGGGGGUCCACGAGUGCCGGUCCUGCGGGUACCGCUACGACCAGGCGGCGGGGGACCCGUCGUACCCGGUGCUGCCGGGCAUCCCCUUCGCGCAGCUGCCCGACGACUGGCGGUGCCCCAACUGUGGCGUCGCGCAGUGCUUCUUCGAGAGAAAGAGCGUGGAGAUCGCCGGGUUCGCGCAGAACCAGCAGUUCGGGAUGGGCGGCAACUCCCUCACCUCUGGUCAGAAGGGACUGCUCAUCUACGGCAGCCUCCUCAUCGGCUUCCUCUUCUUCAUCUCCGGCUACUUCCUGCAAUGAUGACGCCAACAACGACUCUUUCUGAUCUGAUCUGCUUUCUGUUUGUGUGAAUAGAAUACUUCGUCCGUGCAUCUACUCCUCCCCACUCCCAGGGAACAACAUUCAUCAUCAAUCGGCUAGAAACUCUUUGGUUUAGAUUUUUUUUGAUUUGAUGCGGUGAUCGUUAAGUUCACAGGAACACCGAGCUCAUAUCCCCUCCAUGGUUGUAAUAUGUGGGCAACAAAACUACAAACUAGACACAAAACAUGUCAUAGGCAGAGUGGUAGAGGAGGGUACGCGUGGUGCACACAUAUCUUAUCCACCCAUGGCCUGGCCUCCAUCUGUGUUCCUGAUGCCUGUGGCCAUCACCAACCGCCUGUGCUAUUUUUAGUGGCGGUUUCUUAAGAAAUCCGCCACUAGAAAAUCAUGGAUUUCUAGUGGCGGUUUUCUUAAGGAACCGCCGGUAGAAAUCGAUUUCUCGUGGCGGUUUUCUCAAGGAACCGCCACUAGAAAUCAUUUUUAUCCUUAAUUUUUCGAGUUUUUCAAACAACCUCGUAUGAUGAAACCACCAAAAUAAAAGUUGUAGAUCUCUGAAAGUUAUAAAACUUUAUAGUUGACAACUUUUUUUUGAAAUCAUUUUGUCUCUCAAAAAUUGUAUCUAAAUUUGUCAAAUUUAAAAUUCAAAUUUUGCAAACGACCUCGUAUGAAAAAAGUGUCAAAAUGAAAGUUGUAGAACUUCAAAAAUUAUUCAACUUUGUAGUUGACAACUUUUUUAUUUGAAUUCGUUUACGGUCUCAAACAAGCAAUUUACACUCAUUUGGUUGUAAUAUGUGGCAACAAAACUACAAACUAGACACAAAACAUGUCAUAGGCAGAGUGGUAGAGGAGGGUACGCGUGGUGCACACAUAUCUUAUCCACCCAUGGCCUGGCCUCCAUCUGUGUUCCUGAUGCCCGUGGCCAUCACAGGAACACCGAGCGCAUAUCCCCUCCAUGAAUUCCUGCUUCCCUCUCCUUCCCUAGCUAGGGCAUAUACCCAGGGAACAACAUUCAUCAUCAAUCGACUAGAAACUCUUGGUUUUAGAUUUUUUUUUUGAUUUGAUGCGGUGAUCGUUAAGUUCACAGGAACACCGAGCGCAUAUCCCCUCCAUGGUUGUAAUAUGUGGGCAACAAAAGUACAAACUAGACACAAAGCAUGUCAUAGGCAGAGUGGUAGAGGAGGGUACGCGUGGUGCACACAUAUCUUAUCCACCCAUGGCCUGGCCUCCAUCUGUGUUCCUGAUGCCCGUGGCCAUCACCAACCGCCUGUGCUAUUUUUAGUGGCGGUUUCUUAAGAAAACCGGCACUAGAAAUCGUAUUUCCAGAGGCGGUUCCUUAAGAAAACCGCCACUAGAAAUCAUGGAUUUCUAGUGGCGGUUUUCUUAAGGAACCGCUAGUAGAAAUCGAUUUCUCGUGGCGGUUUUCUUAAGGAACCGCCACUAGAAAUCAUUUUUAUCCUUAAUUUUUCGAGUUUUUCAAACGACCUCGUAUGAUGAAACCACCAAAAUAAAAGUUGUAGAUCUCUGAAAGUUAUAAAACUUUAUAGUUGACAACUUUUUUUUAAAUCAUUUUGUCUCUCAAAAAUUGUAUCUAAAUUUGUCAAAUUUAAAAUUCAAAUUUUGCAAACGACCUCGGAUGAAAAAAGUGUCAAAAUGAAAGUUGUAGAACUUCAAAAAUUAUUCAACUUUGUAGUUGACAACUUUUUUCUUUGAAUUCGUUUACGGUCUCAAACAAGCAAUUUAGACUCAUUUGGUUGUAAUAUGUGGGCAACAAAACUACAAACUAGACACAAAGCAUGUCAUAGGCAGGGUGGUAGAGGAGGGUACGCGUGGUGCACACAUAUCUUAUCCACCCAUGGCCUGGCCUCCAUCUGUGUUCCUGAUGCCCGUGGCCAUCACAGGAACACCGAGCGCAUAUCCCCUCCAUGAAUUCCUGCUUCCCUCUCCUUCCCUAGGCCAGCUCCUAGCUUUCUUCCCUAGCUAGGGCAUAUACCUAGGGAACAACAUUCAUCAUCAAUGGACUAGAAACUCUUGGUUUUAGAUUUUUUUUGAUUUAAUGCGGUGAUCGUUAAGUUCACAGGAACACCGAGCGCAUAUCCCCUCCAUGGUUGUAAUAUGUGGGCAACAAAAGUACAAACUAGACACAAAGCAUGUCAUAGGCAGAGUGGUAGAGGAGGGUACGCGUGGUGCACACAUAUCUUAUCCACCCAUGGCCUGGCCUCCAUCUGUGUUCCUGAUACCCGUGGCCAUCACCAACCGCCUGUGCUAUUUUUAGUGGCGGUUUCUUAAGAAAACCGCCACUAGAAAUCGUAUUUCCAGAGGCGGUUCCUUAAGAAAACCGCCAGUAGAAAUCGAUUUCUAGUGGCGGUUUUCUUAAGGAACCGCCACUAGAAAUCAUUUUUAUCCUUAAUUUUUCGAGUUUUUCAAACGACCUCAUAUGAUGAAACCACUAAAAUAAAAGUUGUAGAUCUCUGAAAGUUAUAAAACUUUAUAGUUGACAACUUUUUUUUUGAAAUCAUUUCGUCUCUCAAAAAUUGUAUCUAAAUUUGUCAAAUUUAAAAUUCAAAUUUUGCAAACGACCUCGGAUGAAAAAAGUGUCAAAAUGAAAGUUGUAGAACUUCAAAAAUUAUUCAACUUUGUAGUUGACAACGUUUUUAUUUGAAUUAGUUUACGGUCUCAAACAAACAAUUUACACUCAUUUGGUUGUAAUAUGUGGGCAACAAAACUACAAACUAGACACAAAGCAUGUCAUAGGCAGAGUGGUAGAGGAGGGUACGCGUGGUGCACACAUAUCUUAUCCACCCAUGGCCUGGCCUCCAUUUGUGUUCAUGAUGCCCGUGGCCAUCACAGGAACACCGAGCGCAUAUCCCCUCCAUGGAUUCCUGCUUCCCUCUCCUUCCCUAGGCCAGCUCCUAGCUUUCUUCCCUAGCUAGGGCAUAUACCGUUUCUAUCCAGGAGGAGUCCAGAGUGAGACAGAGAGAGAGAGAUUGACGAUGGCGUUAGCCUAUGCAGCAGCCAGGCUAGUCCACCCAUGCAUUGGCAUGGGCAUGGUGUCCAAGCAGCACCCAAGAACACCGCCAUCGUCCUCCUGCUGCCUACACCUCCACCACAUCCUCUACCUUAGGCCCGUCGUCAGCAGCCACCACUUGGCGCGCCACUCCGUCGACGUCACCAAGAACGACAAGCCGCUUGAGCCGCCGCCGCCGCCGGCUGCAGGGACAGAGAGCACACAUCAGCAGGAGGACGAGGACGGCGGGCCAAAGCUGGACCUGAUGAGGUUCGAGGAGAAGUUCGCGGUGCUGAACACGGGGGUCCACGAGUGCCGGUCCUGCGGGUACCGCUACGACCAGGCGGCAGGGGACCCGUCGUACCCGGUGCCGCCGGGCCUCCCCUUCGCGCAGCUGCCCGACGACUGGUGGUGCCCCACCUGCGGCGCCACGCAGUCCUCCUUCGAGAGCAAGAGCGUGGAGAUCGUCGGGUUCGCGCAGAACCAACAGUUCGGGCUGGGCGACAACUCCCUCACCUUCGGCCAGAAGGGCCUGCUCAUCUACGACAACCUCCUCAUCGGCUUCCUCUUCUUCAUCUCUCGCUACUUCCUGCAAUGAUGACGCCAACAACGACUCUUUCUGAUCUGAUCUGCUUUCUGUUUGUGUGAAUAGAAUACUUCGUCCGUGCAUGUACUCCUCCCCACUCCCAGGGAACAACAUUCAUCAUCAAUCGACUAGAAACUCUUGGUUUUAGAUUUUUUUUGAUUUGAUGCGGUGAUCGUUAAGUUCACAGGAACACCGAGCGCAUAUCCCCUCCAUGGUUGUAAUAUGUGGGCAACAAAACUACAAACUAGACACAAAGCAUAUCAUAGGCAGAGUAGUAGAGGAGGGUAUGCGUGGUGCACACAUAUCUUAUCCACCCAUGGCCUGGCCUCCAUCUGUGUUCCUGAUGCCCGUGGCCAUCACCAACCGCCUGUGCUAUUUUUAGUGGCGGUUUCUUAAGAAAACCGCCACUAGAAAUCCUAGUGGCGGUUUUCUUAAAGAACCGCCAGUAGAAAUCGAUUUCUAGUGGCGGUUUUCUUAAGGAACCGCCACUAGAAAUCAUUUUUAUCCUUAAUUUUUCGAGUUUUUCAAAUGACCUCGUAUAAUGAAACCACCAAAAUAAAAGUUGUAGAUCUCUGAAAGUUAUGAAACUUUAUAGUUGACAUCUUUUUUUUGAAAUCAUUUCGUCUCUCAAAAAUUGUAUCUAAAUUUGUCAAAUUUAAAAUUCAAAUUUUGCAAACGACCUCGGAUGAAAAAAGUGUCAAAAUAAAAGUUGUAGGACUUCAAAAAUUAUUCAACUUUGUAGUUGACAACUUUUUUAUUUGAAUUCGUUUACGGUCUCAAACAAGCAAUUUACACUUAUUUGGUUGUAAUAUGUGGGCAACAAAACUACAAACUAGACACAAAGCAUGUCAUAGGCAGAGUGGUAGAGGAGGGUACGCGUGGUGCACACAUAUCUUAUCCACCCAUGGCCUGGUCUCCAUCUGUGUUCCUGAUGCUCGUGGCCAUCACAGGAACACCGAGCGCAUAUCCCCUCCAUGGAUUCCUGCUUCCCUCUCCUUCCUUAGGCCAGCUCCUAGCUUUCUUCCCUAGCUAGGGCAUAUACCCAGGGACGAGGACGGCGGGCCAAAGCUGGACCCGAGGAGGUUCGAGGAGAAGUUCGCGGUGCUGAAAUCGGGGGUCCACGAGUGCCGGUCCUGCGGGUACCGCUACGACCAGGCGGCGGGGGACCCGUCGUACCCGGUGCCGCCGGGCCUCCCCUUCGCACAGCUGCCUGACGACUGGCGGUGCCCCACCUGCGGCGCCGCGCAGUCCUUCUUCGAGAGCAAGAGCGUGGAGAUCGUCGGGUUCGCGCAGAACCAGCAGUUCGGGCUGGGCGGCAACUCCCUCACCUCCGGCCAGAAGGGCCUGCUCAUCUACGGCAGCCUCCUCAUCGGCUUCCUCUUCUUCAUCUCCGGCUACUUCCUGCAAUGAUGACGCCAACAAGGACUCUUUCUGAUCUGAUCUGCUUUCAGUUUGUGUGAAUAGAAUACUUCGUCCGUGCAUGUACUCCUCCCCACUCCCAGGGAACAACAUUCAUCAUCAAUUGGCUAGAAACUCUUGGUUUUAGAUUUUUUUUGAUUUGAUGCGGUGAUCGUUAAGUUCACAGGAACACCGAGUGCAUAUCCUCUCCAUGGUUGCAAUAUGUGGGCAACAAAACUACAAACUAGACACAAAGCAUGUCAUAGGCAGAGUGGUAGAGGAGGGUACGCGUGGUGCACACAUAUCUUAUCCACCCAUGGCCUGGCCUCCAUCUGUGUUCCUGAUGCCCGUGGCCAUCACCAACCGCCUGUGCUAUUUUUAGUGGCGGUUUCUUAAGAAAACCGCCACUAGAAAUCGUAUUUCCAGAGGCGGUUCCUUAAGAAUACCGCCACUAGAAAUCCAUGAUUUCUAGUGGCGGUUUUCUUAAGGAACCGCCACUAGAAAUCAUUUUUAUCCUUAAUUUUUUGAGUUUUUCAAACGUCCUCGUAUGAUGAAAUCACCAAAAUAAAAGUUGUAGAUCUCUGAAAGUUAUAAAACUUUAUAGUUGACAACUUUUUUUUGAAAUCAUUUCGUCUCUCAAAAAUUGUAUCUAAAUUUGUCAAAUUUAAAAUUCAAAUUUUGUAAACGACCUCGGAUGAAAAAAGUGUCAAAAUGAAAGUUGUAGAACUUCAAAAAUUAUUCAACUUUGUAGUUGACAACUUUUUUAUUUGAAUUCGUUUACGGUCUCAAACAAUCAAUUUACACUCAUUUAGUUGUAAUAUGUGGGCAACAAAACUACAAACUAGACACAAAGCAUGUCAUAGGCAGAGUGGUAGAGGAGGGUACGCGUGGUGCACACAUAUCUUAUCCACCCAUGGCCUGGCCUCCAUCUGUGUUUCUGAUGCCCGUGGCCAUCACAGGAACACCGAGCGCAUAUCCCCUCCAUGGAUUCCUGCUUCCCUCUCCUUCCCUAGGCCAGCUCCUAGCUUUCUUCCCUAGCUAGGGCAUAUACCAUUUCUAUCCAGGAGGAGUCUAGAGAGAUAGAGAGAGAUUGACGAUGGCAUUAGCCUAUGCACCAGCCAGGCUAGUCCACCCAUGCAUUGGCAUGGGCAUGGUGUCCAAGCAGCACCCAAGAACACUGCCGCCGUCCUCCUGCUGCCUACACCUCCACCACAUCCUCUACCUUAGGCCCAUCGCCAGCAGCCACCACUUGGCGCGCCACUCCGUCGAUGUCACCAAGGACGACAAGCCGCUUGAGCCGCCGCCACCGGCGGCUGCAGAGACAGAGAGCACGCAGCAGCAGGAGGACGAGGACGGCGGGCCAAAGCUGGACCCGAGGCGGUUCGAGGAGAAGUUCGUGAUGCUGAACACGGGGGUCCAUGAGUGCCGGUCCUGCGGGUACCGCUACGACCAGGAGGCGGGGGACCCAUCGUACCUGGUGCCGCCGGGCCUCCCCUUCGCGCAGCUGCCCGACGACUGGCUGUGCCCCACCUGCGGCACCGCGCAGUCCUUCGAGAGCAAGAGCGUGGAGAUCGCCGGGUUCGCGCAGAACCAGCAGUUCGGGCUGGGCGACAACUCCCUCACCUCCGGCUAGAACCAGCAGAAUCUUGAGAUAUUUAGUUUAUACUCCUAAGUUUGGUCUUUGGUACCCCAAGGGAUCAUCUUUUGAUUUAUUAGGAUAUUCAGAUGCUGAUUGGGCAGGGUGUAAAAUUGAUAGGAAGAGCACAUCAGGGACUUGUCGGUUUCUGGGGAGAUCCCUGGUGUCUUGGGCUUCAAAGAAACAAAACUUAGUGGCUCUUUCUACCGCCGAAGCCGAGUAUAUUGCCGCAGGUCAUUGUUGCGUGCAAUUGCUUUGGAUGAGGCAAACCCUUAGGGACUAUGGCUACAAAUUUAGCAAAGUCCCUCUCCUAUGUGAUAAUGAGAGUGCAAUCCGCAUGGCGGAUAAUCCCGUUGAACACAGCCGCACUAAGCACAUAGCCAUUCGAUAUCACUUUUUGAGAGAUCACCAACAAAGGGGGAUAUCGAGAUAGCCUAUAUUAACACCAAAGAUCAAUUAGCUGAUAUCUUUACCAAGCCACUAGAUGAGAAAAGCUUUAUCAAGCUUAGGAAUGAGCUAAAUAUUCUUGAUUCUAGGAAUUUUGAUUGAUACUUUGCACACAUAGCUUAUUUAUAUACCUGUGAUCAUAUCUCUUUUAUGUCUAUGACUAAUGUGUUUUCAAGUGUAUUCUCAUGCUUAGUCAUAGAAUUGAAAGGGAAAAUGGAGCCACUCAACUCCAUCGGUACUAUUUACUCUUUGCCGGUAUUCCCCAUUUCUCCACAUUGGUAUAAUCUUCACUCAUAUUUAUUUGUUUACCAUUGGGGAGAAAGUAAAAUGGCUUAUAUUUCACUCACAAGUAUCCGUUUUUGGCGAUUCAUGCCAAAGGGGGAGAAAGUAUUAGCCCAAAGCAAAAGGACCGCACCACCAACGAAUUUUAAAAAUGAAGUUUUCAAAAUUAGUAUCUUAAUGUGUUUUCAAAAGAGGGAGAAAGUUCUAGUAUCUUCAAAAAUUUGUAAAACCCCCUUGAACACUAAGAGGAGAAUUUCAAAAGGGGUAGUUUUGUUUUAAGUCAAAGGAAAGCAUUUGAAACAGGGGGAGAAAAACUUCAAAUCUUGAAAAUGCUUCUUUCAAUCUUAUUCAUAUAACUUUGACUAUGUUGCAAAAGGAUUUUUGAAAAAUAUUUUACAAAGAAUUUGCAAAAACAAAACUCAUAGUGCAAGCGUGGUCCAAAAUUUUAAUAAGAAGAAAACAAUCCAUGCAUAUCUAUUGAAAUAAUCAUAUUGGUUUAAAUUCCAAGCAACCUUUGCACUUACAUUAUGCAAACUAGUUCAAUUCUACACUUUUAUAUUUGCUUUGGUUUGUGUUGGCAUCAAUCACCAAAAAGGGGGAGAUUGAAAGGGAAAUAGGGUCAAACCUUUUCCUAAAUAAUUUUGGUGGUUGAAUUGCCCAACACAAAUAUUUGGACUAACCAGUUUGCUCUAGAAUAUAUGUUCCACAAGUGCCAAAGGUUCACAACAAACCAAUACAAAGUUCAAAGAAAGGGUUCAAAACAAAGGAGCAAAGAAAACCGAAGUGUGCCCUGGUCUGGCGCACCAGACAGUGUCCGGUGCACCAGGGUGAAUCAACUCUGAACUUGCCACCUUCGGGUUUCUGGAAUUGCUCUCCGCUAUAAUUCACCGGACUGUCCGGUGUGCCAGCGGGAGCAACGGCUACAAGCGCCAACGGUCGUCUGCAAGUGAACAGUGAACAGUGCGACUACGCGCGUAAAAGUCAGAGCAGGCGCCAGAAGGAGCACCAGACAGUGAACAGUGACUGUCCGGUGCACCACCGGACUGUCCGGUGGCCCCACAUGUCAGAGCUCCAACGGUCGAACCCUAAUGGUUGGGUGACGUGGCUGGCGCACCGGACAGUGUCCGGUGGCGCACCGGACUGUCCGGUGCGCCAUACGGCAGCAGCCUUCCCCAACGGCCACUUUGGUGGUUGGGGCUAUAAAUACCCUCAACCACCAACACUUCAAAGUAUCCAAGUUUUCAGCCAUUGCAUUCAAUACAAGAGCUCUAGACUUCACUCCAAGACACAAACAAAAGAUCAAAUCCUCUCCCAAGUCCAAAGAUCAUUCCAAUCAAAUAGUGACUAGUGAGAGAGAGAUAUUUGUGUUCAUUUGAGUUCUUACGCUUGGAUCGCUUUUCUUCUUCCUUCUUUCUUGUUCUAAAGACACUUGUAAUCAACGCAAGAGACACCAAGUUGUGGUGGUCCUUGUAAGGGAUCUAAGUGACCCGUUGAUUGAAAAGAGAAGCUCACUCGGUCUAGGUGACCGUUUGAGAGAGGGAAAGGGUUGAAAGAGACUCGGUCUUUGUGACCACCUCAACGGGGACUAGGCCUUCGAGGGCCGAACCUCGGUAAAACAAAUCACCGUGUCACUCUCGCUAUUUGCUUGUGAUUUGUUUUCGCCCUCUCUUUCGGACUCGGUUUUAUUUCUAACGCUAACCCCGGCUUGUAGUUGUGCUUAAAGUUUAUAAUUUUCAGAUUCCGCCUAUUCACCCCCCCUCUAGGCGACUUUCAAUACUCACUCCUACCUCUCUCCCCACACACAAGAGCACGACCCAAACUCCAUUUCUAACUUGAAGAAUACCUCCCACUCUCUCUCUCACACAUCUCUUGCCUCUCCCAUUUCAAAUCUUUGGAGAGAAAUCUUGGAGUGAGUUUGAGAGCUGCGGUUUUUGUGCUUCAUCUCCAAAUUUCUCUUGCUCUUCUUCAUUCGAGUUUUGGUACUACAUCGAGUUCUUUGUGGAUUCAUUACUCUUGGAGCUUCUAGCUCCUAGACAACUAGGUGUCUCUUGUGAGUCUCCAAAUCUUGUGGAAGACCACAAGAAAGUUUGUAUUACCCGCUCAUUUGAGCAAAGAUUAGUGUGUGAGCUUGACCUUUGUGGUCAGCAAAGGGAGGAUUAGGGUUGAAAGAGACCCGGCUCUUUGUGGGCGCCUCAACGAGGAAGUAGGGCACCUUGGUGGUGUGACCGAACCUCGGGAUAAAUCUUGUGUCUCUUGUGUUCUUGUUCAUUGUGCUUAUACGUGUUCUUUGUUCUCUCACCAUUCCGUGAAAGAUUUGUUUAUAUCUUUUCGGUGUGUGGAUUUUGAGAAGUGCCCUUCUCAGAUCUACUACUUUGAACCAUGUGGAUCAUUUAGGACAUCUCAUUUCCAAAGUUAACUGGGUGAAUUUCGAGAUCAAUUCAGUUUUACCCAGUUUACUUCUAGUUUUUGUUGAAAAAGUUUUAACUUGCCUAUUCACCCCCCUCUAAGCAACUUUCAAAGACAAUACUCUUACACUCUCCACCUUCGUUGCUCUUCGCUAAAAACGUUUAUAUGUAUAGUUUUUAUGUGUUAUAAAAAAUAUCUCGCCUACUUUACGCUAAAGUAAAAAAUUAUAUCCUCUAUGCUAAGUAUAGGUCUUAGUUGGCUUAACUUUCCAACUUUGUGUCUCCAUGCUAAAAACCUUUGUAUGUUCAAUUUUACAUGUUAUAAAAAGAUUCUCUCAUCUACUCCGUGCUAGAGCAUAGGUUUGAGACUGUUUUAUUUCUCUUGUAGAUCACGAUACCGUAAGGUUCCUUUUCCUUAAGCACAAAAUAUAGGGAUUUCAUACCCUAUAUACUGGUUUUUUUCAAUGACGAGGUCUUAUUUUGCACGACUCUAGAAAAGUUGUAUCCUUUCUACUGCCCAUGAAGGAAGCAAAGGAGGUGAAGAAAAUUAAACUGGUUUUUAUCAGUUUCUAAUUUAUGUUAAUGAUAAUAGAGACAAAAUGACUCUUUACUUUAGGACACAAAAGAAUUCAAAAUAGAAAUGACCAAAACUUCACCAAAUAGGACCUACAUGUUACCACAAUAUUAAGAGUUUUAUUGGAUUAUUAUUCACUCUAAACUUUAGAGUUCUGAAGUUUUGUUUGGUUGAGUUGUGGCUUCUCAAAAAGUUGUUGUGAGUUUGAUUGAAUCAUUUUAUCUAAACUUUAAAUCUCUAAGGCCUUAUUUGGCUAAGUUGUGUGUCGUAGGAAGCUAUGACAUGGUUUAGGCUGUUAAAAAUUUGAAAGUCGUUUUGCUAAGCAGUUGCAGGUUCUGAAAAAACUAUUAAACGAACAUUACAUGUCAUCUACCUUCCUCAUCACUCAAAUCUUUCCCUCUCCCACUUACAAGCGGACCACACUCGUUAACUCUUUCUUCUACCUUCCUUAUACAAUGUAGGUUGUCGACUCAUCGUGAGGGUUGGUCGUGCCACGACGGAGCUUGCCACACUGUCUUUGGGGCUCUCUUCAUGAGUCUACAAACAGAGAAAGAACGAAACGACAUGUACAUAAUCAAUGGCAGGUGGGUAAUUCAUGGAAUUUUCUAACUCCAUAGUAGGUGAAAGCAAACAAAGCUAUUAUGAAAUUUGUACUAGGCAAAACUACUUUUAGUUGUGCUUUGGGUUGAGAGCCAACCCCUUUGAUUGCCUUUGGACAUUUUAAGAAGCCGAAGCAACUUGGAAAAGCCCAAGCAAAAAGGACCUAAAAGCUCUAUUUUUAUGAACUUUAGCUCUAUUUUUAGAUGUAAAGCUAUGUUGUAAUAUGAACAAAAGUUUAGAGCUAACUUUAGACCAUUUAUUUAGUGAUGAUAACUAAAAUUUAGAGGAGAAGAUUCACACAAAUGCUAAACGUUGUGAAAACUUUCAAGUAAGGACCACUGUGGCACAAAUUGGUUAAGUCCCGCGUUUUGCUGCAAUACAUUUUCGUUUUAAGCCUCUAACUUGAAGUCCCCACAAAAACGCUCUCAUAUGAAAAGGAAAUAUUUUGUUUUAUUUUUUCCACUAGGUGUACCUAUUUUGGCAAACUAUUUAUUAACAUAAGUUUAGUUCUAUCUGUAUGCAUAAGAGCAUUUUCGAGGGACUCUUCAUUUUUUCUUUUUAUUUGACUCUAUAUCUACCUCUUUAUAAAUAUUAUAUUCUAUAUGUAGUAUCUUAUUCCAAGAGAUUCUCUAGUAAAAAAGUUAGCUUGGCUAGUCGGAAUGACUAGCUAAAGUUGACUAUAGAGAGUACUAAUUUGAAGAGUCGGAUAGUUUAACGAGUUAGAUAGCUAAUCUGUUUGAGAGUUAUUUUGCAAUUAAAUAAUUAUUUUUUUUCUUCCGUAUCAGUAUAUUAGACAUAUUCUUGCAAGUUAAAAACAAUAAAAAACCGCUUUACCAUAGGUGAGGUGUGCCAACGAGCCCGCAUCAGCUUUUGGCCAGAUCAGUGCGCCGUGCGCUAGCUGCAUACUCCUACCGGUGAUGCAGUAUGGUGCGACCGGAUGAUGAUAUUGCGAUGUGCCACGCUCGCUUUCGUCGAGUGGAAGAUGACGACGCGCCCGCGGUGGCGGUGUGUGGAUGCGCAGACUCCCGGCAUAUCAAAAUCCGCACUCCCCAUUGGCCGGCCUCAUAUCCCCUUAUCCGCUUCGCCACCCGCGGUCUCGCCCACCACCCGCUCCGGCCGGCUCUUAGCUGCAUGCUCGCGCCGCCCUCCUCUCCAUCAUCCAGUGCUCUCUCCUCUUGCGAUUCGCUCGCUCGAUCCUAGCUUCCCUUCCAAGAAGCGCAGCGCCCAUGGCCAUGGCCACGCAAGCCUCCGCCGCCACGCGCCACCUGCUGGCCGCCGCCUGGGCGCCGGCGGCGAAGCCGCGGCAGCUGAGCUCGCAGCUCGCGCUGCCGUCGUCGUCCUCCCGCGGGCCGGCCCCGCUCCGCGCGUCCACCGAGGAGGCGGUGGAGGCGCCCAAGGGGUUCGUGGCCCCGCAGCUGGACCCCAGCACGCCGUCCCCGAUCUUCGGCGGCAGCACGGGCGGGCUGCUCCGCAAGGCGCAGGUGGAGGAGUUCUACGUCAUCACGUGGACGUCCCCCAAGGAGCAGGUGUUCGAGAUGCCCACCGGCGGCGCCGCCAUCAUGCGGGAGGGCCCCAACCUCUUGAAGCUGGCGCGCAAGGAGCAGUGCCUGGCGCUCGGCACCAGGUUGCGCUCCAAGUACAAGAUCACCUACCAGUUCUACCGCGUCUUCCCCAACGGCGAGGUGCAGUACCUCCACCCCAAGGACGGCGUCUACCCGGAGAAGGUCAACCCCGGCAGGGAGGGCGUCGGCCAGAACUUCCGCAGCAUCGGCAAGAACGUCAACCCCAUCGACGUCAAGUUCACCGGCAAGGCCACCUUCGACUAAUCACACUUCACGUACGCCGCACGCCCCAGCCGGGAUCCAAAUUAAAGAACUUCUUCUUCUAUUAAUUACAGUAUAUUGUAAUUUGGCUGCUGGUACGGUGGUGGCAUGAUUUGAGAUGUGCAUGAUGAUCCUUGUGUAAUUUUAUUACCAAGUCUCUUCUUAUAUUUACAUGUUCAUUUGCUUGCUUCUUGCAUAACAUAACGCCUAUCGACAAUGACCAUCAUUAGUUUUAGUCCUACGUGUAUUUGAUUCAAUCUCUCCGUGUUUAUAGUAUAAAUUCAACCAAACUAAAG
rnacentral:lncRNA from 1 species